UAAUAUAAACAUGUGCUCAAAUGAGCAAAUGAAUAAUAUGUACAAGAAUAGUAAAUUGCAUAAAUGUAAAGAGCAAAAAGUAAAUGUUAAUGGUUAAUGGUUAGUGUUAGUGGUUAGUGUGCCAUAAGGCAAAUUUAGGGCUAUGUUAAGCAAUCGUAAUUGGACUUAUGUAGAAGUCACAACUAUCUGAGGCCGGUCAAUAAUAAUGUAGGCAACAACACAAGUUAUAGAUAUUGAUUAGUGAAUCAAACUCCAACAACUUGCCAUGCCAAAAAGAAGAUGAGAAAUGAUCUUGUAUUGGUUUAGGUCCUUUGCAUGAUUUAGAAAGCAAUCUAUCCUUAAUGCAAAGCCAUUCACUUGAUCAUUUGAUCAAGAUGAAUUAGAUUUGAAUCAAGGAAGAUUAAACCUCCCUAAUCAAUGAUAACCAUCAACCUUUAACUCAUUGAUCAAAAAGAAUAGAAGGAGAAGAAGAAGAAGAUGAAGAAUAGAAAUGAAGAAUUUAAGUGCAUUUAAUAAAAUGGAAUGUACCAAUCAACAAAUGUUAACCAAAGAUAGGGAAGAUCAAGGUCAAACAAUAGAAAACAGAAGCAAGAUGAAGAUUGGAAGUCAAGAAAUGAACAAAGUAUUUUUGGCAUUUUUAAUAUUUAAAAUAAAACUUGAAUUAAAAUAUUAAAGGAAGGUCAAACUUCAAACUCACUUCAAAUCAACUUUGAAAAGUCCAAGUGAAUUAUCCCAAGUUCAACAAGGUCAAACAAAAUUUGACAAAAAAUUUCAGCAUUUUUAGAAGUCAGAAACUAUUUAAAAUCAAUUAAAAAUGCAUAAAAAUAACCUAAUUGAAUUAAAAUCUCAAAUAAAUCUCAAAUCAAUUAAUAAAUUUAUGAGAAUAUUUUUCAUAGAUUUAUCAUCAUUCAAAGAGGUUGAGAAAAUAUUUUUGUAUUUUUUGAAUAUCAAAAACUAUUUAAAAUGAACUAAAAAUAACCAGAAAAGAGAAAACUAUUAAAAAAUAGCAAAUGAUAGAAUAAAAAGUAUUAAAAAUCAUUUUUAGAAUUUAGAAAUUAAAAGAGAAAUAAUGCAAUUGGUCCCAUAAUUUUUGGACCAAUAAUGAAAGAGAUAUGGAUUUUAGAAAAUGAAAUGGAAUUAAAAAAUAAAAUAGAAAUUAAAAUCAGAAUUAAAAAAAAAAGGGAAAUAGGAGCCUGGAUUUGAGGCUUCAUUAUUGAGCUGGCAGAUCCAAAGCAUCGCCACAAGCGCGCGCGCCCAACGUGUUCCAAAGUCAAUGCAGACCAUCAGGACUUAAAGAAAGUUUAUAACAAUGUUGUGGGAGGAGAUAGAUCUGGGAAACUUUGAAGAUGGACAACUCAUAUCCCGAAUCUGGAGACUAGGACGGUGGUCAGCGGCGCCACCGUCUUCUCCGGUUAGGCUUCCACGAAGGCCAAAAAUGGCAGAGAUUCAAAUUGUGCAUCAAAAACGCACGAUCUAGGUACCGUUCUGAAGGUGGAUGAUGUUACAUCACUCCUAUGCCACUCAAUUCCACUCUAGAUCCCUAUUAAGAGAGAAAUCAGAGAUGGAACUUUGGUGGUGUUCAACUAAACUUGCUUGAUUUCAACAAUUAAGAACGCAAUGAUGAUGCCUCUAUGUAGAGGACUUCAGACAACACAAAAUCAAGGCAAAUUGAGCAAUGUAUGAGGAGAUUCGAAGCAAAAUGCAGUUGAGCAAAAUCUUUGGAUUGUGAAGAAUUGAGUCACGAUCUUUGAUUCCUUUUGCAAACAGAAGCUUCAAUGGAUCAAAUGAAGAAGGUUUAGGAACUAUGGGUCUAAAAAUUCAAUCGAUGCAAUUGAAUUUCAGAUCUGAAAUUUUUGAAAAGAAAGUGAAAAGUUCCUUUGGUGAGGGUUGGGUUUUGAGUUCAGUAGGGUUUUAGGCGCCUUUAGGUUGAAGAAUUGUGAAGCUAUGGCAUGGUAUUUAUAGAUGGAGAUGGCUGAAUGCAUGAGCUUUGAGCACACGUACCCUCUUCUCCCGGAGGUACGUACCCGGACAUGUGGCGCAUGGAGGGCCCAAUUCUGAUUGGAAUUGAUUGCUAUACAUCACCAAAUGAGAAAUGGACGUGCAGAUUGAAUUUUAAUGGUUCAUGCAAUGUGUUUGAAAUGAAUUUCCAAAAAUGCACCAAAUUCUUCAUGUCUUCGAAAAUGAUGCUUCCAAACUCCAAAUGCAACCUUAUGAGUAAUGGUUAGAAAGCUUUGUUGAUCAAAAUUUCAUUUGAGCCUUGGAAAAUAAUGAAAUUUGAGUUUGAAGUGUAGGGUACAAAACAUGCAUAUGUGAAGUUUCCAAAAUUGGCCAAUGUUCAAGCCCUUCUGUCUCAAUGAUGCAAGCUCCAAAUGAUAAAAUCUUCAACACAAAAGUUGUAGAUCCUUUCAAGACAAUAAAUUUGGACUUAAAUGUUUCAUCAUUUGGAUUUUUGAUGAAGAAGUUAGGGGCACUUGAUGUUCGACUUUUUCACAUUUCAAUGCAUUUGGUCCAAAGUGACCUAUAAUGUUUUGCAUUAUCACAUGUAUUUCUUUUGAGAUUUUGCAGUUUUUCUAGACAUAAAAUUUGAAUUAGACACAUUAAUAUUUCCAAUGCAUUAAGUCUCACCUCAAAAUCAUGAAAAAUGAAUAAGUUAUGUUCUUGGGAAGUUGACCCAAAAUUAGGGUUUCAGUCAAAAUGACCUAUAAUGUCUUAGAAUGGAGGAUGACCUUCCAAGCUUUAAAUACAAUUUUGAUGAACAUGAAAGUUGUUCAUAUUAUCCUUAAGAACAUUUUUUCUCUUGGUGUCAUCUCCAUUUGACCAACACAUAAAAAGUUAGGUUUCAGUGUAUUUCAAAAUAGUCAGAUGAAUUGACUGAUCAACUUCUCAAGUCCACACCUUAUAUCUAGAUGAAUGGAUGAUUGAGGGCACUCAAAUAAGUUCAAAUAUGCAUGAAAUGAUGAAUUAAAGAACUUCCCUUAAUUGUAUUUGACCAUGGGCUAAGGUUGCUUCAUGAGCAAGGCACAGUUGAUAGACAAAUGAGCUAGGGUUUCCUUGGGAAACAAACCUCAAACCCCUUGAUUUGCUUUGAUCAAAAUGAUGAAUUGAGAUACUUGGGAGACAUAUUUGAUGCAUGGGAGAUUUGGGAACCAUUACCAUGCUUGCUUUCAUCUUCUCUUGACCAUACCAUUGCACAAAGGAUCUCCUAGAAGCUUUAGACCUUGUGACUGCUCAAACUAUAAACAAAAGAUGUUAGUGACAUAUUUUUGUGCUUUUGAGUUAGGAAAUGGGAAAAUCAAUAAUAUACAAUUCCAGCAUGCUUGGUGAUCUCAAAUCACUCACCAGAGGUCCCAAUCUAAAGGCAAAGGGAAUCAAGAUGCUUAUGAUCCUUGAGGCUAUGCAAAUGCAAUGUAAUGAUGCCAUGAGGGAUCUUAGGGUCAAAAUUGGGGUCUUACACGUGGUACCUUACCAUGUUUUGUAUUCUACUUAAGUACACCGUAUCUUACGAUGUUCUACAAUUCACUUAAGGGAACCGUACAUUAUGGUAUUCCUUAGUUACUCUAUCUCUCAUCAAUCCGUCCUUUUAUGUGUGACCUUGUAGGUUUUCGUGGCAUUGGCAAUUAUAUUAAAUCACGUAUUUAACAUAAUAAAUAGUGAGUGGUAUCUAGCAAUACAUCAUUGCUACCCAAGACACGAAAAUGUCAUGUGAUCAGACAAAUCCUUUUGUGAUAAUACUUAUGUGUACAAUUAUCCUUUUGCCCUUAUGUCUAUAUUGAACACAAGGCAUAGACCGUGUCAUCCUUGUCCAGUUCAAUAUUUGGCCCAUAGAUAUUUAUCCUGUUAUGCAGGAUGGGCAAAUUCUAUCUAGGUGACUCAUGUCCCUUAGCAUGCUUCGUGGAGUACCCAUCAACUAUUUUUAUGGUCAUCCAGUUACAGACAAUGUUUGAUCAGCAAUAAGGCACUCGACUCUACAUCUAGGGUCCAUAGUGGUUUCAGGUCGAAGGAUGGUAUACACCAUUAUCACCAUGAGAAUAACUUAUGACACUUUGUAUAACAUUCUAUGUAGUAUUCUCAUAGCAGGUCAAUCCAGUAUAAAUAUUACUCUUAAUAUUCAUACCUAUGUUUAAGAAUUGAUAACUCCUUAUCCAUGAUCCAAGAGAUGUGAUCAUCAGUCUAUAUACAUAAUAGUCUUAAUGCUUUAAUGUUAUCCCACUUCACAAUAAAGUUCGACUACAGAUACUUUAAGAAUAGUGUCCUUAUGUGUAAUGUGAUCUCAUGAUUAAGUCACACUUGAUACAUUAAACGGACUAGCUAUUCUAGGGACUUUAUUAAACAAACAUAAUAAAGAAAAAUCCUUGUAUUAUUAAUAAAUAAUUCUAUACAAUUACCAAAAGUAUUGGCCUUUAGGGUUUACACCAACAUGUACUCCUCUACAGAUAUUAGAAUUGAAUCAUCAAUGUGCCAAUAAUUCGGUGUUGGGCCUCUAUAAUUGGAUAAUGGAAUUGAUUCCUAAUAUUAGUCGGGGUCUUGGGAUUGGAAUGUGCCAAUAAUUCGGUGUUGGGCCUCUAUAAUUGGAUAAUGGAAUUGAUUCCUAAUAUUAGUCGGGGUCUUGGGAUUGGAUGUCGUGUCUUAAAAAAUAAAAUAUCUUAAAUAAGCACUUAAACGCAUUUUUAGUAAUAUAUGUUUUCAAAUUCAAUAGUGUACAUGAAAACAUAUUUUUUAGCUGGUUAGAGCAUUGUGCUAAUAAUGUGAAGGUUGCAGUAUUUUAGUUAUUUUUUUAUUUGUUUCUAUAUGUUAUGUUUUGCAACCUUUUAUCCUAUUUUUUUAUUUAGUCAUUUACAAUCAUAUAUCCAUACAUACCUACAAACUUAACUCGUUUAACGAGACUAUAUGUUUUGAUAUAUUAUGUUUUGCAACUUUUUAUCCAUUUUUUAUAUUUAUUUGUUCCCUUGCAAACAUAUUUUUAUUUGUUUUUAUAUAUUAUGUUUUGCAAUCUUUUGUCCAAAUUUAUUUAUUUAUUCAGUCCCAUACAAUCAUAUGCCCAUACACAACUAUCAAUUUAACGAGACUAUAUGGAUGGGAGCUCUGGGAACCAUUACCAUGCUUGCUUUCAUCUUCUCUUGACCAUAACAUUGCACAAAGGAUCUCCUAGAAGCUUUAGACCUUGUGUCUGCUCAAACUAUAAACAAAAGAUGUUAGUGACAUAUUUUUGUGCUUUUGAGUUAGGAAAUGGGAAAAGCAAUAAUAUACAAUUCCAGCAUGCUUGGUGAUCUCAAAUCACUCACCAGAGGUCCCAAUCUAAAGGCAAAGGGAACCAAGAUGCUUAUGAUCCUUGAGGCUAUGCAAAUGCAAUGUAAUGAUGCCAUGAGGGAUCUUAGGGGAAAAAUUGGGGUCUUACAGAUGCCCCUAUUUAAGGUCAUUCUAGCCGGAGAGGUGAAGGUUAAAAUCUUCGUCUCGACGAGGUAGAAUGGGCUUAAAUAAUAACAAAGAGACAAAUUUUGGUCCCUAAAAGAUGCCCCUAUUUAAGGUCAUUCUAGCCGGAGAGGUGAAGGUUAAAAUCUUCGUCUCGACGAGGUAGAAUGGGCUUAAAUAAUAACAAAGAGACAAAUUUUGGUCCCUAAGAGACCUCAUGAUGCAAAUGUAUGUAUGCAAAAGGUAAUGCUCAGCGGGGAUAUGUGUCCACAAAGAAGAAAAGGAAAUUCGGAGAAACUGACAAUCCAUAUGAGUAGUUCACUCCAUGGGACAGAGACUCUGGGACUCUAAUGGGGAUAGAACAGGAGAUAAACUGUGUGAACAGGUCACGACUUAGAACUUGCUGAGACACGAGAGGGAUUCCAUGAAAAUAAAUCAAUGGAAGGACUCGAGCUGACUCAGAGAUGCAUGUAUUGGGCAAUAUGCCAAUACAUCGGAACUAUCCAUAAAGGAUACUUCGGAUGAAAAUCCGGACUCAGAUGGAGAAAAAGUCCACUAAGGGAAAGUCCAAACAGGACUCCUCUGGGGAAACGCCAGGAUGAGGUAUUACCGGUUACUGGGUAAUAAGCUCAAGGAGACAUGUGAUCUGAACACCGGUAUAAGGGUGAGAGAACAACAUGCUCAGGGAGAAUGAAUAUCUAAGACCGGUAUAAGGGUGAGAGAUAUUAAAAAUUCGAAAUCAUCUGAGGAAAACCUAACGAGGUAUAUUUCAACUCAGGAAAAUCUGACUCCACAGAGGACGAAAAGUCAUAAUAGGGAGCAAAUGGGAAGGAACACCAGGGAUACCGGUUACUGGGCAUAUAAUAGGUGACCAACCAGGGCGUGAAUUGGGGAAUAUUUCCAAGACACUCAUCAUCCAAAAGAGGGCUAAAAAGCAGACUCGAUUAUAGGAUGGGCAUUCGAUUCCAUAAAAGGAAUACGAACCUUACUCAACUGGGGAAGAACAAAAGACUUCAACCAAAUAGUGCAUGAGAUAUAUUAUCUAUUACUGUCAGAAUGUAGAUAACAUACUCGCAUGGAAGAUUAUCCACAACCGGUUACUGGGUUAAUAAAGGAUAAAUCGACCGACAGAAAAGGAGCAUCGGGAUACCAAAUACUAGGUAUAAAAUGAUGACCAAAUCAAAAGAGAGAAAAGAUCAUUACCGACAAAAGGCAAAUGAAAGAUGACCCGCUGGGGAUGCGCUGACAAAGGUGGCGAUCCGGGAGACAUAUCACCCAUUACUGGGAGAUAUACUCAGAAGGUGAAGGAAUAUCAAUACCGAAUAUUGGAUAAAGAUAACCAUCAAAGAGGGGAUUACAUCUACCGGAUAUGGGGUAGAAAACCACGGAAGAGUAACCGUCAUCGGUCAGGAUGAAUAAAAUGUUAACUCUGCAAGGGGAUAAAAUAGGGUUUACAACUACUGGUAUAAGGGUAGAAAACCACAGACUCUGCCGGGGAAAAUAUGGAUAACUGCAUGGUUACUAAACAAUCAUUCAUCUAGACUACAGGGAAGUGCAAAGGAAACACGCAAAAAGCCAUUCUAGAAACAAACUAGAGAGGCACGACGAAACAAGACUCAUUCCUAUGAGGAUAUAACUAAGGGGAAACUCCAUCCCAAUAUAUGCGUUGGGAGGAACAGGAAUAACAAUCAUCCACGAGGAUAUAACUCAAUGGGGAAUAUGGAAGAAAGGAUAAACACUUUCUGCUUAUGGGGCUGACUCUACAUGGGGAGAUCAGACACAAACAUCUGCUUGGGGAAUCAUAUUACCAACUAGCAGGAGAUAACAAACAAAGAUAUAUGGCAAAGAAUGCAACAUGAAUAUCUGAAUGUUAAAAUUAGGCAUAUAUGCGUGGGUUAUGUAUGAUGAAUGCUAACAAACAUACAUAUCUAACACAAACAGGUCUAAAGAUCGAUGAAUAUAUCCGGUACUACAUCUCAAAAGAGGAAGCCAGGCCCACUGGAGAGCAUCCAAUCUGAUAGGGGCAAGAGAUACCAGGAAACAAAGAUCUUUGCAGGAGAAUGAGCAUCAGUCAUUCCAACCGGGGACAAGAUCAUUGCACAGAUAAGAUCCGCUGUAGAAGCAACUCUACUGGGGAAGUUAUCAGGGGAGGGGAUGGAUAUCUUUACCAUCCACUCUUCUCGGGAGAAAAAAACCACAAAAGUCUCUAGAGGAAGAGGAUAUAAGCAUGCCAGGAAUAUGAACAAAUAUCUCACCCUGUUGGGAAUCAUACCAUCUUUGGGAGAGCACUGAAGACAUCCCAAGAAUGUUCACUUUGUUUAAAAACAAGUUAUGAAAAUUUAUUUGUUUAAAACAAUGAUAUUUCUCAAUUAAAACAUGCAAAACAUUUGUUGAAUAAGAAAACAAAUAAGAGUGUAAAUAAUUGGAUGAAGGCUCAAAUUUAUUUGAUGGAAUGGUAGCCUGCAAAUGGAAAGACUCCAUAGAUCUUUACAAAUUUGAAAUUGGUGAUAUAUAUUGGAAAAGGGCUACAUUGAACAUAAUAGCCAUUUCUCCACCAACUCUGAAUCUGAUGUAUUUGAAGCUUCAGUUGACCAUGACUGAGCGAGAAUUUCUGACAGAUGACAGUUUUGUAGAGCAAAGUCUUGUCAGGAUAUAGUUACUUGCCAAAUCCCUAAUUUUUACCUAGAUUUCCCCAGGGUGAGGUACUCAAUCUAGCGGGAUACAUAUUUAUUUUUUAUGUCUCUAACUUUUUCCUGGAUCGCCCUUUCGGGUUUUCAAUCCACCGAGACGCUCAUUUUUGCCUAAGUCGCCCUUUCGGGUUUUGAACUUUGCGAGCUAUUCUGUUUUUAUUUUAUUUUAGGCGAAGAAUUUCUUAACUGCAUCUGAAUUCACAGGACGAGUGAAAUCGUCCCAAUCCAUAGUUGUAAGUAUCAAAGCACCGCCUGAAAAGGCUCUCUUAACAACGUAUGGACCUUCAUAGUUUGGAGUCCACAUGCCCCUGGAAUCGGGCGCGAAAGACAAGACUUUCUUGAGCACAAGGUCACCUUCUCGGAACACACGAGGUUUGACCUUCUUAUCAAAGGCUUUCUUCAUCCUUUGCUGAUAUAACUGACCGUGGGACAUGGCAGUUAAUCUCUUUUCUUCUAUCAAAUUCAGCUGGUCAUAACGACUCUGAACCCAUUCAGCAUCAGUCAACUUGGCUUCCAUCAAGACUCUCAUUGAUGAGAUCUCCACCUCUACUAGGAGCACAUCCUCCAUACCGUAAACAAGAGAUAAAUGGGUUGCCCCUGUUGAAGUGCAGACAGAUGUACGAUAUCCAUGCAAAGCAAAUGGCAGCAUCUCAUGCCAAUCCUUAUACGUAACAACCAUCUUUUGGAUAAUCUUCUUGAUAUUCUUAUUAGCAGCUUCAACAACCCCAUUCAUCUUGGGUCUAUAAGGAGAAGAAUUAUGAUGUGCUAUCUUGAACUCGCUACACAGCUCUUUCAUCAUUUUGUUGUUAGAGUUAGAUCCAUUAUCAGUAAUGAUCUUAUCCGGUACACCAUAACGACAUAUGAGUUGAUUCUUGAUAAACUUCACAACCACUUGCCUGGUCACAUUUUGAUAUGAUGCCGCUUCAACCCAUUUGGUGAAGUAAUCAAUUGCUACGAGAAUAAACCUGUGUCCGUUGGACGCUUUUGGCUCUAUCAUGCCAAUCAUGUCAAUUCCCCACAUAGAGAAAGGCCAUGGUGAUGAAAUCACAUUCAUGAGUGUCGGAGGAAUAUGAAUCUUAUCCGCAUAAAUCUGACACUUAUGGUGUUUCUUCACAUAUUUACAGCAAUCAGACUCCAUUGUCAGCCAAUAGUAGCCUGCUCUCAACAUCUUUCUAGCCAUGGCAUGUCCAUUGGAAUGAGUACCAAAUGAACCCUCAUGGACCUCAGUCAUUAACAGGUUUGCUUCGUACUGCUCUCAACAUCUUUCUAGCCAUGGCAUGUCCAUUGGAAUGAGUACCAAAUGAACCCUCAUGGACCUCAGUCAUUAACAGGUUUGCUUCGUGUCUAUCCACGCAUCUGAGCAAAACCAUGUCAAAGUUCCUUUUAUAAAGCACAUCACCAUUGAGGUAGAAACUGCCUGAAAAUCUCCUCAAAGUCUUUCUAUCUUUCACAGAUGCCCCAGGCGGGUAAAUCUGACUCUAAAGAAAACAUUUGAUAUCAUAAUACCAAGGCUUGUUAUCUUCUACCUCCUCUACUGCAAAUACAUGAGUUGGUCUGUCCAAGCGCAUUACAGUGAUGUUGGGAACUUCAUUCCAAAGUCUAACCACAAUCAUCGAAGCAAGUGUAGCAAGAGCAUCUGCCAUCCGAUUCUCAUCUCAAGGAAUAUGAUGGAAAUCAACCCCAGUAAAAACGUUGAAAUCCUCCUCGCAUAGUGUCAUACCCCAAAAUUCACCCUACACAUUCACAAUGUUCAUCUAGGUCACUAACUUAAACAUUUGCAUAUCAUCAUGAGCAUGCAUUUCAUCUACAUAAGCAAGGUUCAACACAAGAGAGCAAUGACUUGAAUUUAGAGCUUUAUGCUUACACCUAGUGGAAACUAGGAUUUCUUAGCAAACUUGGGGUGGCCCCAAUCAAACCCUAGCAUGGAGAUGCUUGUAUCUGGUGUCAAUGGUGGCUUCUUGAGGGAGCAAAACCCUAAUUUAGUGGUCCUCACAUGGUCAUGGCUCCAUAAGCCCUAAUCAUGUUCAAUACCCAUUGUGUGGCCUCCUAACCCUAAUUUCAGCUGGCACAUCAUCAUUCAUGAUGCUUGAUCUCCUUGCUUGGUUAAAUGGCAUUCAGUAGCUUCUUGCUCCUGGUUCAUUCAUGUUGAGUUCUUGGUUGUGUUUCUAUUCACCAUGCUCAUGACCAUUGAUCCUAGUUUUUGGUCUAUAUAGGUUGUGGUUCAUGUCACAUCUUGAUCCUUUCUAAAUCUUGUUUCAUGAUUGUCAUUGAGCAGUUCAUUCAAUGUCAUAAUGUCCAUUUCACUCUGUUCCAAUACAUGUUCAAGAUUCAUUUAUUCAUAUAAAAACUUCAGAUUCAUUCAUUUCAAGAGCCAUUUAGUUCAAAUACCAAUCCAAGUUCAUUCAAAUGAGGAAAUGUCAUUCAUUACAUGAUCAUAAAAGGUUCAUUACAUGAAAAAUGCAAAGAGAGGUAUGUUAACCAACAGUUAACUUUUUGACAAACAGUUGACUUUUUGACCAACAGUUGACUUUUUGGUCAACUUUGACCAAAGUCAACUCAAACCCUUAAGUAAUGACCUAUGCACAUUCAAGCCUUGUCAUUCACUCAAGUUUUGAUUCCAUGAGGUUAUGUGAUUCAUCUGUGAAGAGUUCAUUGGCCCUGUCAUGUAGGGCAUUCCAUGUCAUGUUUUAAUUAAUCCAAUACAAAGUCAAGUCUUGAUUCAUGAUCAUUACAAGUGUCCAUUCAUAUUCAAGAAUUAAUUUCACGUGUCAAGGUCAAGUCAAAAUCUAACAUUCAUUCACAAUCAUUUACAAUUCAUUACAAAUGUCCAAGCAUUGAGAAAAUUACAAAAAAGUGGAAGUUUGACCAUAUGUUGACUUUGGUUAACAAUUGACUUUUUGGUCAAAGUUGACCAAAGUCAACCCAAUCACCUCCUCUUCAAAACCAAUUCCUAAUAAAAAGUCUAACCCUAAACACCGGUGGCAUGGUUGACAAUCGUGUUCCAACAAAUGUUGUUCGAACGUUCUCAUCUGAUAAAUCAAACCACAUGGCAGUAACUUCUUCAGUUUCGAUGGUGUCUAUUCCUCCCCAUCUUUCUCCAGGAUCUUUUGCAGCAUUGCAAUAUCAGUCAACCAGAAAUGAAGUCAGACCGCCCAUUGUUUCUGGUGUAAUGCCUAGCAGUCACAUGGGGAGAAAUCCAUCUUCUGUAGGAUUGCCUAGAGUUGAGAACCCACAGUUUAAAGUUACUGGAGGACUGAGUGGGGCCCCUUAUGUGCUUCAGGUCCAAUCUGGUGUAAUGCCUAGCAGUCACAUGGGGAGAAAUCCAUCUUCUGUAGGAUUGCCUAGAGUUGAGAACCCACAGUUUAAAGUUACUGGAGGACUGAGUGGGGCCCCUUAUGUGCUUCAGGUCCAAGAAAAUUCAUUGGCAAACCAAUCAUUAGUGAAUGCUCCUACAUGGUCAAUACAGACUCAACCUGUGUCAUUAGCUAGAAGUGUAUCAGAAAACAAGGCGCCUGCUCAUAAUCCUCCCAAGGUGGAAGGAACUACUGAUGUAACUGUAUCGAGGGCAGGUCCACAAGUAGCAACAGGUCAGAGCAUUAGACCAUUUAUUACUCAAACGGGACCUGGAACUAUGUCUAGUAUACACCAGCCAUUGCAGGGUGGGAACAUGGUUCAACCUCCUUUGGUUCCUAGUCACUCUGAUAUUGCAAAGAUUGUCCAGAAGUUAUUACUACCAAAGCUUCCUGAACAUCGCACAUGGAUUCCUCCGUCAAGGGAUUAUAUGAAUAAGGCUUUCACAUGUGAGCUCACUGUCAGUGAGGUUGAUUCUGUUCUUCUCUGUGAUGCUUAUGAAAAUGGAUUUCACUUAAAGUGCCUGCAGCCAUCAGUAAUUAGAGGAAUUCAUAAUAGAGUUGAUUGGCACUGCACGAGAUGCUUGAGUUUAAGCGGCGGAAAGUCUUUGCCUCCAAAAUAUGGCAGUGUGACGAGAUCUUCAAUUACAUCACCAAGUUUUUCCUCUAAUACAGUUGGAUUCAACCAUAUUCAGAGAAGAAAGCAAAUAGCUUAGAUCUAAAGGCCAGCCCACAAUUUUUUACAACAAAUGGAAACUCUAUCCCAACUGUUUCCAGUGCCAACCACAGUACUGAGUCGUCAUUUGACUCAAAUACCCCACACACAAGAGAUAUACAAGGUUCCAUCAUUUCAUCUAGCAUUGAAACCAUUGAAGAGAAGCCUGAUCCAAGCAUAUUUAUGAAAUCUGCAGCUUGUAGUGUUUCCACUGGCUUGCAGGGUGAAAGUUGUGCUGAAUAGAUAGAUUCAAAGGCUUUGACCUGUAAAGACACUUCUGAAUCAGAAACUCUUCCUAUAUUUUCCGAGCCGGCUAAAUGUGAAAAUUUGCAAUCAUCACAAGAUUCUCAUGUUGAGAUGGCAGUGUCAGAGGACAAUGCUGAAAUAUCACCAGAUAGACAUGAUAGCAGUAGUUUUAUGAUUAGUAAUCAAAAGGAAUCUCAUGGAGGAGAAAAUAUAACUCACGAUAUCAAGAGCGAUGAUCUAGAUGUUGCACAACCAAUUUCUGUUGGAAGUUCUGGAACUAAUACUGAAGGUAUUCAGCACUCUGCUAUAUCUUCAGAUAGCUCACAUGCUAUUGAAUGGAUUGGUGAUGUUGUACAACUCGUAGAUGAGAAAAAGUAUUACCAAUCUUGCUGCAUUGAUGGAGUAACAUAUAGGCUGCAUGGUCAUGCUUUUUUGACAUUCAACCAUGGCAAACUGACACCUUCUAAACUUCAGUCCAUGUGGGAAGAUUCCAAAACUGGGAUGAAGUGGGUAAAGGCAACAAAGUGCUACUUUCCCGAUGAUUUGUCGGGAGAUAUUGGUCAUCCUUGUAUAUCUGAACUCAAUGAGGUUUAUGAAUCUAAUAGUGAUAGGAUUGAAAUGGCAAGCUCAUUCCAUCCUAGACCUGCAUAUCUAUAAGAUCAUUCAGCAUCAAUAGUGCGCAACAAGGUUAGGAGCAUCGUGUGGUAGCAAGCAAAACAAAGGGUAAAAUGUCUAACGCAUACAUAACCACACAUACCAAAUCAAUGCAUAGUGACCAGAGUUGGAACAUUUAACUUGAGCUAAGUCAUAUAGACCAAGAACCCCACUGCAACUGCAGAGCUACCUGUAAAAGAGGACCAAGGUGAUUCUAAUGGCUACACCAGAAAAAUCCAUAACAGUCGGCAAUGCAAGGCAAGAAAUGGAAUUUGAGUCAUAAUCAUGGUAACUACCCUGUUGCAGAACCAAAGCCAAGAAAACCUGUAGAAACAUGGCAAGUUAUCUGAGCAUAACAACACAGACCUACAAUCCAAAGAACAGUUCAAUUCAAAUCAAUGAGUUUCAAAACAAUAAGCAGUUCAGGAAGUUAAGGGAUCCAAACCAGUUUGGUUCUUACGUUUAUAGGUGUCAACCCUGAAGUCACUUAUUCAGUUCCUCUGAAGCGUGCCAUUCAAUUUUCUAAAUCCCACGUGACUUAAUUCAUGAUGUAAAAACUCACCUUCUCAUUCACUUAAAAUGCCAGAUGGAUGAUUCAGAUUUAACCAUUCAGACUUAAUUCUCCAAUUUGCCCUUGGAUCAAGCUUAUAUAAGAGGCAAUCAUUGCCAAUCAUUGGGGUUCAGACUUUUUUCCCUCAUUCCAAAGGAAUCGUGCAAUCGAUUCCCUCCCACCUUCAGUACACGCUUUUUUUUUCUUUCUCCAUUAUUGUGAGAGCUUCAUCACUCGAAGCUCUACACGGCAGAGCUAAGCCACCUCCACCGCCGGAAGCUUCGAAGCUCGAAGAACGUUAUCGCUCACACGCUUCCAAUUCGCUCCAACAUUGCGAGAAGAGGAAGAGAGGCGCUCAAAAGUUGUGCUCGUGUUCGUCAUUGUAACACCCCAAUUCUACCCGUCGUAAAUUCGAUUAAAAAUCAGAGUAAACAAAUUUCACAUAAAAUUGAGGCAUCACAUAUAUCCUUUCAUCAAGACUUAAACAAUUUACACAACACGGCAAUUGCACAAGGAUCCACUUAGUCCUUGUUAAAUAGUAAACAACACUGUAUAUGGAUUCACCUAGUCCAUAUAGCAGCAAUACACAAAACAUCGCAACGGAAAUCAUUUAGAUAAUUAAGUUGAGUCGUACAUUUACACAUUCAAAAGAAAACAAGCAAACAAAUGCCAAUCACAACUAUCAAAUACAAUGAUAUACAAAAUAGGCAUUUUUACUAUCAAAAUCAGGAAAAGCAUUCAUUAACCCCUGAGUUUACAAUCCUAAUCAGAGCAAUGACGCCAAAAGUGUGCUAACACUAUCCUCCUCCUCAAUGCGGCACCUGCACGCUUACCAAUAUAUAAAGGUAACGCGCCAACAACAAAAGCGUGAGAUACUCAAAUCCUAUUAAUCAGAUAAUGAUAAGCAAUAUAUAAGUAAAUUCGGAAAGUUAAAAAAUGUUACCACAUCACUAAUCUUCACUUGAAUGCUUAUGUAUUUAUCAUUAACAAGUCAUAAUCAUCCACAAUAUCAAUUACAUCAUAGCAUCUCAUCACUUUAACAUUUCAUCAAUCCAUCAAAAACAUUACGAUUCAUCGCAUCAUCGCAAAAAAUAUCACCGCACAUCAAUAAACCGUCACAUAACAACACAUUAUCACAAAUGCGGAAAUAAACAUAACCAACAUAUGUGACUCAACUAUGCAAAUGCUAUGCGUACCGACUCGUCGCUUUGCAUCAAGGCCAAGGCUUUAUGCCCCACUUCGCUUUUGCCAAAGCCACGUCGCUAUUGCCAAAAAGCCACUGCGUCGCUUAUGCAAUGAUGUGACUCCAUAUAAAUGAUACACAUACACCAAAAUCAUCAUCGCAUCAACAUAACUCAUCACAAUGGCGCAAGCCACGUCGCUAUUGCCUCUAGGCCACGUCGCCAUUCAAUGCAUAAAAGCAUUCAUACAACAUCAUCCUUCACCAACAUUCAUACGUAAUGUAUUAUAUAUAAAAUAAAUGAGAAUAUUCAUCACAAUCAAUUGUUUCAUCUACAAUCUCUUAGAUAUUCACCUUCAUGCUAUGUUUAUUACAUCCCACCCUACACACUAUAGUUAAGUGUAUUCCUCAUUAAACAAAUAGGCUUCCUACUAUAUCAAUUAUAAUCAUUUUCCCAAAAUAAUCACUUAUUAAAAUAAUCCCUUAUAAUGCCUAUAAACAUCAACAACAUGUAAAAUUUCAUAAGCUUCGCAACGCUUCGAACGGGGACCAAAACGGAGUUACGGUUCAAAGUUAAUGACUUUGAAGUUUACAAAAGAAUUCUGUUUUCACUCAGUUGGCCGCGCGAAUUAUAGCAGGAAACAAGAAAAUGCGUUUUGACCGUUAAAUACCUUCCGCCUCCGAUUCGAUUCCGUAAAAAGUCUCAUUCUCAAGAAUUUCAAACGAACUACAAUAUUUUCAAUAUUACACACAGCCUUAUACCACCCAAUUUAACUUUUAUUUCAUCAUUCUAAAUCAUUCAAUUAUUUUCAACACUUCUAAAUCACAAUUGUGAAUUACUCAUACUUUGAUUCACAUCAACACCAAUAGCAUAUUUUUCACAAACUACUGAACCCCAAACCAUCAACAACAACACAACACACAAUGUAUUUAUCAUCUUCUAACCCUAACCUAACAUUUGGCAAAGAAUUGAUACAUGUUCAAUAAUCACACAACAAUCAACACUACAUCAAAGAACACAAACAACAUUUCAAGCAAGGAAUCUAAUCACAACAAUCAAAACCCAACAGUAUCCUCUAACAACCAUUACCCACAUAAAACCAUCAUUUUCAUAAUUAUAGAAAUAUAACUCACACCCUUACCUUAGAGAUGAUGAUGAGUACUCUAUAGUUUUCUAGCAAGCUUGGUUGAUCAAGAUGAAUGCUCUUCUUCCUCCAAUUUCCUCUUCCUCCUCCAAACCCUACUUUUCUCUCUUUUCUUCUCUUUCUCCUCCUUCUUCUCACUUCUUUCUAUUUCUUCUCUUCUUCUCUAUUCUAUUCUUUCUUUGUAGUAAUUAAAUAAAAAUCUAACUAAUGGGCCUUAAUUGUUACACUCCCUAUACUUACUAACUACACACUAGGCCCAAUAGCUAUAUACUACCACAAUUCUCAUAAUUAAACUCUAAUAUAUUAACACACAAUAAAAUAUUUUACCGAAAUAAUUAUAAAUCAAACAAUAUAAAUAAAAUAAUAAACACUAAUAAAAAUCGGGGCUUACAACUCUCCCCACUUAAAUAUUAUUCGUCCUCGAAAAUUACCUCAUUUGAUAACUCGGGUAGGAGUCGCGCAUCCUGUUCUCUAUUCCCAUGUCGUGCCUUUCUCCGACUCCACCAAUCCAAACAACCUUCACCAAAUCAAAUUUCCUUUCCCCGUAGGGACUUCGUCUCACGACCUCAUCGAUCCUCAAGGCAUCGUCUCAACCGAAAGUAUCGCGCACUUGAAUAUCAUCCAUUUGAAUCACUAUAGACGGAUCGAAUAUACUUCCUAAGUUUGAGACACCAUGGAACACGUCAUAUGCAAAUUCGAGAGUUUGGCGGUAACGCCACUCUAUAAGCAACUUUCCCACUCUACUCGUAAUUUGAUAUGGUCCAAUGAAACGAGGAGUCAACUUCUUAGUUUCAAGCUCGCUCCAACACCGGUCGUAGUGUGACUCUUAGAAACAAUGAUCACCCUCUUGAAAUUCCAAUCCUUUCUCCUCUUAUCAUUAUAAACUCUUUGCCUACUUUAGUAACAUUUGCAUCUAUCCGAAUCAUCUUAACCGUCUGUUAGUUUCCAUCGAACAAUCUGACGUCCAAGUACCACACUUUCACCAAAUUUCAUGCCAACACAACGGAGUCUCUACACCUUCCCCAUACAAAGCUUCAAAAAACGGCGCCAUUCCAUACUUGAACUGUAACUAUUGCUUGUAUAGUAAAACUUCCACCAACGGAGGUGAGUAUCCAUGAACCUUGUGUCAAGGAAUACACACCACCCUUAACAAAUCUUCCAAAGAUUGGAUGUCCUCUCCGUAGUUGACCAUCCGUCUGGAGAUAUACGCCGAACUCAAACCUCAACUUAGAACCUAAAAGCUUCUGCAAACUCUUCCAAAGAUUCCGAAGUGAACCUUGAUCCUAUCCGAAACACAAUAAAAAAGAGGUAACACCGUGCAAAACUUCACAAUAACAUUUGGUAAUAAAUCUCCGCACAACUCGACACCGAUAACUUAUGUUAAAUAGGAAUUAACGUCAGUCGACUUCGUAAGCUAUCACAAUCAUCCCAAUAGCAUCACAUCCUCGCUAGAUGUAUUCGUAAACGCCGUCACAAAGUACAUGGAAAUGCUAUCCCACUUCCACCAGAAUUCAACGGUUGCAUCAACGCCCGCAGGUUUCUGAUGCUCCCACCUGAUUGAUCUGGCAAUCUUACACGCAUACACAAACUGUAGCUACUUCACGCUUCCAAUCCCAACCACGCUAAAUAAUCUUUUCAAACUUAGUAACAUCUUAGUCUCGGCUCCGGGAUGAAUACUCAAAUUAACUCCUAGCGCUUUCUUCCAAGAUCAACCUUUUUAAAUCGCCGAUCAUGGAACAUAAUAUCCUAUCCACGAAACCUCAACGACAACCUCAUGUGCAUCCAAUUGAAAUCCCAUCAUGUCUCAAAUUGUCCCAGAUCACAGUAUAUAUCACAAGUAUUAUAUCAACUUCUGAGCCCUCUCUAUAUGCUAAUCAGAAAAUCUGUUAAUCUUUACCAUAACCCAAAAUCACACUUCUUGGUGUCACCUCAUCACUAGCCUCAUAUUCAGAAUUUCUCAAUCAAGCAUCCAACAUCUUUCAUCAUCAAGUCCACUAUGCAAAGUUCUCCUACUCUAGAGCUAUCGGCCACCACAUUCGCUUUCCGCGAUGGAGUUCAAACCAAAGUCACAAUCCUUUAAGCAUUCCAGCCAUUCCUUUGUCUCAUGAUCAGCUUUUGAUCAAAACAAAAACUUUAUAGCUGAUUUAGUCACUAACAAGACUUCAAAUCUAGAUCUCAUAAAGGUAAUCUCCAAUAUUUCAAAAAAACACAACCGCCUCGCAAGCUACCAAAUCAUCGUUAGCGGUAGAUCUUUUAUGAAAUCCUAAUUGUCUAGAAGCAUCAGCAACCACACAUACCAAUUCUGACUAAGCGCACACCUAAUCCCAUCUCCGAAGCAUCGCAUAAACUCACAAACGGGUCCUCGUGGAUUUGGCAAAAUGUCAAAAUCGGAGCCCAGUGGUAACCUUUCUCUUCAACUCAAGGAACACUGUCUUCGCAUGGACAUAACCCACACAAAAGCAGCACCUUACAAGUUAACUUAGUCCAAGGAAGUGCCAACUAGAAAAGCCUUCUAUAAGAGCCUCCUAUAGACCCUCAGCCAAGUCCUAGAACUUCUUAAUCUCGGUAACUGCGCUAGAGUUCCCAAUAUGCACACCUCGCAUCAAUCUUCGAUGGAUCAACCGCAAUUCCGUCACCGGAAACAACAUGACCAAGAAAGCUAACUUCUCUCAACCAAAACUCACACUUAGACAACUUAGCAUACAAUCUCUUCUCUUUCAACACUUGUAAAACAAUACGCAAAUGUUCCACAUGUUCUUCAUCCGACUUAGAAUAAACCAAAAUGUCGUCUAUGAACACCACCACAAAUUGAUCCAAAUAAGGAUGGAAAAUGCGAUUCAUAUACUCCAUGAAUACUCCCGGCGCAUUAGUAACACCGAAAGGCAUCACCGUGAACUCGUAGUGUCCAUAACGAGUCCUGAAAGCAGUUUUUUGAAUGUCCUCAUCUUUCACCUUAAUUUGAUGGUAGCCCGACCUUAGAUCAAUCUUACUGAAAAUACGAGCACCCACUAAACGAUCCAUCAAGUCAUCGAUUCUUGGGAGUGGAUACCUAUUCUUAAUCGUCACCUUAUUCAAUUGUCUAUAAUCAAUACAAAGUCGCAUGCUUCCGUAUUUUUUUUUCACCAGCAAAACUGGAGCUCCCCAAGGUGACACACUAGGUCUCACAAACUUCCUUUCAAGCAAAUCCUCUAGCUGACUCUUCAGUUCAGCCAACUCUGAUGUUGACAUCCUAUACGGCGCCAUAGAGAUGGGUCUAGUACCAGGUACAAGGUCAAUAGUAAACUCAACUUCUCUUUCUGGCGGUGCACUAGGAAUCUCAUCGGGAAAAACUUCAGGGAAAUUGCACACCACCGGCAAGCCCGUAAUUACAGCCUGACUUUCCACAGAAAAGCUUGCCAUCAACAAGAACACCAACGCGUCUUCUUCUAUGAACUCCUUCAAUUGUUUCUUGGAUAACAAUUCUGUUCUUCCCUCUUCUUCGGCAGAAGAAAACCUCACAGUGUUGUUGUAGCAAUUAAUAUGAACAUAGUUGGAUUUCAACCAGUCCAUACCCAAUACUACAUCCAACCCGACAAGCGGCAAACAAACAAGAUCAACUACAAAAUCUUUACCAAAUAUUGACAAGGGGCAACUCUUACACACAAGAGACGUAGAUACCGUUCCCUUAGCGGGAACCUCAACAAUCAUAUCUCUACCCAAGGAAGACAAAGAAAGACCCAAUCUUUCAACACAAUCCGCAGCAACAAAACAGUGUGUGGCACCGGUAUCAAUAAUAGUAAUUAAAGGAAUGCUAUUAAUGAAACAAGUACCUCGAACAAGUCCAUCUUCAUUUGUAGUCUGAGUUCCCGACAAAGCAAACACUUUACCACUCUCUUGUCCCCUCUUUGGCUUCUGACAUUUAGCACUGAUAUGUCCUCCUUCCCCACAGUUAAAGCAAACAACAUCCUUCUGCUUACAAUCACGAGCCGCAUGUCCCGACAUACCACAACGGAAGCAUCUCGUUUCACCAAGCCUACACACAUUACUCUUGCGACCCGACUUUCCACACUUGAAACAGAUAACAUUAGCAGGAGCAUCUCCCCCACUUGUUCUUCGACCCAGAAUCACUUUCUGUUUCCCUUUUCCAACCGGAGUUUCAUAUGGCUUACCACGACUGUGUUGGCCCCUUCCUCUCUUCUCAAACAAGAUCUUAUAGUGUGCAUUGUUGUCCUCUUCAAAGAUUCUACAAUUAUCAAUCAGAUCCGCAAAGACGCGAAUCUUUUGAUAUCCCACAGCUUUCUUAAUUUCCGGACGCAAUCCAUUUUCAAACUUGAUGCACUUAGAGAAUUCAGCAUUGGCUCCAUCAUAGUGAGGAUAGAACUUAGCCAAUUCAGUGAACUUAGCAGCAUACUCCGUGACUUACAAGUUCCCUUGCUUCAACUCGAGGAAUUCAAUCUCUUUCUUUCCUCGCACAUCUUCUGGAUAAUACUUCCUCAGAAAUUCUCUACGAAACACUUCCCAAGUAAUCUCCUCGCCCGCAGUUUCAAACCUUAGACGAGUGUCCACCCACCAAUCACCGGCUUCACCUGACAGCUUAUGAGUUCCAUAACGGAUCUUUUGCACAAGAGUGCAAUCCAUCACUCUGAAGAUUCUUUCAAUCUCCUUCAACCAAGCCAAGGCUCCUUCAGGAUCAUACCUACCCAGAAAAGUAGGCGGGUUCUCCCUCUGAAACGUCGCCAGACUACGAGACCCCACGUUCUCGUCAGCAUUGGGUGGGUUCUGGAACGCCUGAGCCAUUGCCUGCAUAGCUGCAGCAAGAGCCUCAUCAUUCCUCCCAGCGUUUCUUCCGGCCAUCUUACACUUCUGCUCACAACACAAACAAGGAUUAGCAACAAAUUAACAACACAAGGUCGUUAAACAACAAAAGACUCAACAACGUGGUCGGAUGGACCGACCUGCUCUGAUACCACUAAUGUAACACCCCAAUUCUACCCGUCGUAAAUUCAAUUAAAAAUCAGAGUAAACAAAUUUCACACAAAAUUGAGGCAUCACAUAUAUCAUUUCAUCAACACUUAAACAAAUUACACAACACGACAAUUGCGCAAGGAUCCACUUAGUCCUUGUUAAAUAAUAAACAACACUGUAUAUGGAUUCACCUAGUCCAUAUAGCAGCAAUACACAAAACAUCGCAACGGAAAUCAUUUAGAUAAUUAAGUUGAGUCGUACAUUUACACAUUCAAAAGAAAACAAGCAAACAAAUGCCCAUCACAACUAUCAUAUACAAUGAUAUACAAAAGAGCAUUGUUACUAUCAAAAUCAUGAAAAGCGUUCAUUAACCCCUGAGUGUUACAAUCCUAAUCAGAGCAAUGACGCCAAAAGUGUGCUACCACUAUCCUCCUCUCAACGCGGAGCACCUGCACGUUACCAAUAUAAAGGUAACGGCCAACAACAAAAGGGUGAGAUACUCAAAUCAUAUAAUCAAGAUAAUGAUAAGCAAUAUAUAAGUAAAUUCGGAAAGUUAGAAAUAUUGUUACCACAUCGCACAAUCCUUCACUUGAAUGCUUAUGUAUUUAAUCAUAAACAAAGUCAAUAAUCAUCCACAACAUCAAUGUUACAUCAUAGCAUCUCAUCACUUUAACAUUUCAUCAAUCCAUCAUAAAACAUUACGAUUCAUCGCAUCAUCGCAAAAUAUCACCGCACAUCAUAAACCGUCACAUAACAACAAUUAUCACAAAAUGCGGAAAUAAACAUAACCAACAUAUGUGACUCAACUAUGCAAAUGCUAUGCGGUACCGACUCGUCGCUUUGCCAUCAAGGCCAAGGCUUUAUGCCCACUUCGCUUUUGCCAAAAGGCCACGUCGCUAUUGCCAAAAGGCCACGUCGCUUAUGCAAAUGUAUGUGACUCCAUGAUAAAUGAUACACAUACACCAAAAUCAUCAUCGCAUCAACAUAACUCAUCACAAUGGCCGAAGCCCACGUCGCUAUUGCCAUUUAGGCCACGUCGCCAUUCACAUGCAUAAAAGCAUUCACACAACAUCAUCUUCACCAACAUUCAUACAUAUGUUUAUAUAUAAAACAAAUGAGAAUAUUCAUCACAAUCAAUUGUUUCAUCAUACAAUCUCUUAGGUAAUUCAACCUCAUGCUAUGUUUAUUUACAUCGCACACCUACACACUAUAGUUAAGUGGUAUUCCUCAUUAAUCAAAUAGGCUUCCUACUAUAUCAAUUAUUAAUCACUUUUCCAAAAUAAUCACUUAUUAAAAUAAGCCCUUAUAAUGGCCUAUAAACAUCAACAACAUGUAGAAAAUUUCAUAAGCUUCGCAACGCUUCGAACGGGGACCAAAACGGAGUUACGGUUCAAAAGUUAUGACUUUUUGAAGUUUACAAAAGAAUUCUGUUUUCAACUCAGUUGGCGCCGCGAACUCUCUUUCGCGCCGCGAAUUUAGCAGGAAACAGAGAAAAUGCGUUUUUGACCGUUAAAUACCUUCCGGACCUCCGAUUUCGAUUCCGUAAAAAGUCUCAUUCUCAGAAUUCAACGAACUACAAUAUUUUCAAUAUUACAAAGCCAUUCUAACCACAAUUUAACUUUUAUUUCAUCAUUCUAAACAUCAUUCAAUUAAUUUCCAACACUUCCUAAAUUCACAAUUUGUGAAAUUACUCAUACUUUGAUUCAUCAACACAAUAGCAUAUUUUUCACAACAUACAUCAACCCCAAACCAUCAACAACAACACAACACACAAUGUUAUUUAUCAUUCUUCUAAACCUAACCCUAACAUUUUGCAAAGAAUUGAUACAUGUUCAAUAAUCACAAACAAUCAACACUACAUCAAGAACACAAACAACAUUUUCAAAGCAAGGAAUCUAAUCACAACAUCAAAACCCAACAAUAUCCUCUAACAACCAUUACCCACAUAAAACCCAUCAUUUUCAUAAUUAUAGGAAAUGAUAAAUCACACCCUUACCUUAGAGAUGAUGAUUGAGUUACUCUAUAGUAUUCUAGCAAGCUUGGGUUGAUCAAGAUGAUGCUCUUCUUCUCCAAUUUCCUCUUCCUCCUCCAAACCUUAACUUUUCUCUCUUUUCUUCUCUUUUCUCCUCCUUCUCUCUACUUCUUUCUAUUUCUCUUCUUUUUAUCUCUAUUCUAUUUCUAUUCUUUGUUUUAAUUAAAUAAAAACUAACUAAUGGGCUUAAUUGUUACAUCUCCCUUAAUUACUAUAUACACCACUAGGCGCAAUAGCUAUUAUACCAUAAUUCUCAUAAUUAAACUCUAAUAAUAUAUUAACACAAUAUAAAAUAUUUUACCGAAAUAAUUAUAAAUCAAACAUUAUAAAAAUAAUAAUAAUAACACUUAAUAAAAAUCGGGGCGUUACAGUCAUCAUCGUCGCCACCUCCGUCGUCGUCUUCGACAGGUAGUGCUUAAUCCAUAUGCUUACUCUUUGAUUCAUUUGCUAUGAUGAUGCAUUGGAGUGUAGAUGAUGCUAUUUGUCACCGUUGCGUAAUCGUUUAUGAAGUUCUGGUAGAAUCUUCAUAUGAGAACUGAGAGUAUUUCUGCUUGUGAAUAAGCGCGUUUGAAAAGCGCUUUUCUGUUUAUUUGUCAUUUUUGUUACUUGCUUUCAAUAGACACAGUGUAGUUAAUUGGUUAAACACCAAGCAACGAUGCCAUGUGAAUUGUGGCUGCACCACUCCUUUGGUAUUCACACCCCAUGCCUUCGAAGGAAAAGGCUAACGGGCCUUGGGGUGGGCCUUAAUGCUCUGGUUGCUAUUCAGGCCAUUCUUGUUAAAUUCUUACUCUUGGUUUUUUGAUUUAAGAAUAUUAACAUUUGGGAUUAGCAUAGGUUUAUCUCAGAUAAUUGGAUUAAUAGAUGGUAAUUAGAGUGCGAUUUGAUAGCUUUUAUUUUAGAAUAGAAUUUGUUAGAAUUUAUUUUCGCUAAUAGUGUGGAAUUGUAUUGUUAGUAAUUUUAGAAUUUCAUUUUUUGUUGUUAAUCGUUUAACAUUAGAAUUUUUUAAUUGUAUGUUGAUAUGUAAAUUCUUGUAAUUCUAGAUUAACAUCUAACAAAACUACCAUCCUAAACAUUUAAUUUCGCACUUCUAACAUCUAUCUUAUAAUUCGCUUCUAACUCCCUUAAUUCGCUAUUGUUAAAUCCCCGCAAUUAACUUCUAACAUGUUAAAAUUUUUUCUUAUUCACAUUUAUUGCUUUUUGUACAUAUUCAUCUCAUCUAAAUGAACAUUAAAAGGUAAAGACUUAUAAAAAUGAAAAAAAAGGAUAAUAAUUCCCAAGGCAUGAAGAGAACGUUUGGAAAUGACUUAGAGACUCAUUAAUCCUUGCAAAGGAGACUUGCGACAAAUGUGAUCAACAUGGAAGAAGCGGUCAAGAAUACAAGAAGAAAUUGUAAUAUCACUUGUUAUAUCUUUUACUUGCUUUCCCAUUUAGAACACAAUUGCACACACAUGGCUUUCUCUUGGGCUACCUGACAAUGAGACCUUUUAUUUCUUGCAAUCCCUUGUACUUUACAUGUACCCCCCUCCCCUUUUCGAUGUACGCAUUUAAUUGCUUUCUUUUAUUGCUUUAUAGUUACUCCUUAGGAAUUAGGAACGUUCACCAUUUCACAAUCAAUAAUCAAACCCUUGAUCCAACGUCAAGCGGUCUCUUUCUUAAAUAAAAAACAAUAAAUAAACCCUUGAUCUAACGUCAAGUGAUCUCUUUUUCCAAAUCAAACUCAAAAAACACAAUAAAUGGCGAUUAGGAUCGUACGUUACGAGCCUUAAGCGAUAAAGAAGGUAUGAGAUUGGCUUAACCGUUUGAGGUAUUCACCUUUAUCCAUAGUCUUUAGUGCAAUCCGAAAUCAAUAAACACUUUUCUCAAAGCUUAAAAACAAUUCCACACAUUCAAACCUUUUAUUUGAGCCUUAGGGCGACACAUUCGAAAACCCUUCUUCAAGGUAAUAAAAUCAACAAAACAAGCCAAACAAUUUCAAAACCACGAACUACGAAGGCUCUGAUUUCUCACUUCAACAAGUGGGCAUACGUAGGCACGAGGAUCCAUUCCUUGGCGAGCACACUAAUUUAAAAUCUACCUCCAUCUCCGCAAACCUUUGGCAAGCAAACAUUUGAUAAACAAGACACACGUAAGCGCAAACAUCCUAGAUGGUUCCCAUGGAGUACCAUGGAUGUGAGGGGUGCUAAUACCUUCCCCUUGCAUAACCGAAUUCCGAACCUGUUCGUGGUUGCGACGACCAUAUUUUGGGGUUUUCUCGAUAUUUUCCCAUUCCUUUGGAAUAAAUAAAAACCGAUGGCGACUCUGUAUUUUUCGCGUAGCGGCAGCUGGCGACUCUGUUGGGGACACCUCCCUAAGCAAGUCAAGCCUAACCUAGGUUGCUUCCUCGCAUGUGUGUAUGCUUAUCCUUUUGAUAUUGCUUGUUUUAUUUAUCGCCUUUUGCUGUAAUAUAUUGUAUGAUUCCAUGGUUCUAUGGUAUCGAUGGAUGCAAAUCCGAUUGCAAGUAACCUUGUGGGAAGACUCUCCAUCCGAGUCUAGAAUGCAAACUUGAGAUAGGAGAGUUUGAGUAGUAUGGGCCACCGAGAAGCUUUUCUCGUAAGGGUCGAUACGAGAACCUCGCCUAGAGUAGAUUCUUUUGGAGACGUUGACGACCGUCAAGCUUUUUGCGUAAGCGAUCAAUGUCUUCAUUUGGAUCCAUGACUCUAAGGACCUUUGUAGAACAUUAAACCUAUGGCCCAUUAAGGUUGAUGGUCGCGUAGUACGGGUCCCCGAGAAGCUUUUCUCGCGUGGGUCGGUACGAAGAUCUCACUCAAAGUAAAUCUUCUUGAUGGAGUUGACGACCGGCAAGCUUUUGCCGUAAGCGGCAAACAGUCAAGGAGGUCCGUGACUUUGAGACCCUUGUCUAGAACCCGAUGUCGAUGGCCGCGUAGUUCGGGCCCCCGAGAAGCUUUUCUCGUGUGGGUCGGUACGAAGAUCUCACCCAGAAGAGGCUCAUUUGAGGGAGUUGACGACCAGCAAGCUUUUGCCGUAAGCGGCAGACAGUCAAGGAGGUCUGUGACUUUGAGACCCUUGUCUAGAACCCGAUGUCAAUGGUCGCGUAGUUCGGGCCCCCGUGAAGCUUUUCUCGUGUGGGUCGGUACGAAGAUCUCACCCAGAAGAGGCUCAUUUGAGGGAGUUGACGACCGGUAAGCUUUUGCCGUAAUUGUCAAAUAGCCAAAUGAAUCAAUGAUUUUGGGGUCCCCAUCUAACCUUAGACUACGACCAGUGAAACCCCAUAUUAGAGAACAAUCAGAAUGUUAUCCUCCAUCCAUAUCUCGAACCUAUGAUCCUGCAUAGUUGUGCAAGUUGUGAAGCCAUGCUUAUGAACCGUACAUCCAUGCAUCCAUGCAUUCAUGCAUCAUAAAUGAUACAAGAAGAUACAAUACUCAUGCAUUGUUCACAUAAACAUCCUGCAUUUCAUGAGACCAAUCUCACUAUCACUUGGCCUUUUUACAGACAAAUUACUUCCCACAAAGCUGAUUUCCCAACAUCUGUCUUGAACUAAAAGCAUGUCGCAGAUCACCAUGGAAGAGUUACAAAGAAAUCAAGAGGCAAUGAAGGUUGAAAUCAACCAGCUGAAGACUCAGAUGAGUCUGAUCAUGGAGAUCCUGCAGUCGAUGCUAAGGAAGGAAGGCAAUCCCGUGCCAGCUGUUGUACCAGAAGUGGUCACUCCGACGAAUAUGCCUAACCCCCUUCCACCUCAGGAGCAGCCUCGUGGAUUUCAUCCACAUCCUAUGCCUCCAAGGGCUCCAUAUCAGCGGCCAUUUCCUGUUCCCCGACCAAGGGAAAGGAACCCUGAGCCGAACCAGUACCCAAAUCAGCUGCGACAACCCACUCGGCAAAGACCAAGAAAGCCAGUAAGGCGUAUUGAUCUACUUCCAAUGUCGUACAGUCAAGUACUAUUGUAUUUGAUCAAAGAUGGAUUGAUAGUGCCAAAGGAACUGCUCCAAGUGAUUCCUCCAUAUCCACCCGACUUUGACGUCAACGCCCGAUGUGAUUUCCAUGCUAGGGCACAGGGGCAUUCAGUUGAGAACUGCAGAGCCUUCAAACACAAGGUACAAGACUUAAUUGAUUCAAGGGCUAUUAUGUUCACACCGCAAGGCCUGGACAUAAUAAACACUCCCAUGCAUCCACGAGAGGGCACAUCUACAAUGCCAUGAUCAGUGCAAAUGGAAGUUAGGGGAGAUUUGAAGAGUCUACGCCUGUGAGAAAAGUCUGAGAAGGGUCUCCUUGAAGAUGGUCAUGAUAUCUGCGGCCAGCCUAAUGAUUCCAGUAUGAGGAUCUAAAUAAGGCCAAUUGUGCCCGUAGUCAUUAGUUUGGUUAAAACAUGUUCAUGUGUGAUUUUCUUGAUUGUCAUUUGUAGCAUUCAUUUGUAAUAAACUUGUUUGUUUUGAAUAAUAAUGACAUUGAAAUGAAUAUGCAUGUUUUGAAUAAAUCCAUUCGUGUCCACUCAUACUUUAUCGUGUCAAUAUUCAACUGUUAGGUUUUGGGAGGAGGAUGAUGAAAUUAAAAACACGAAACGAAUUCACUGCUCGUACGCUUUCGAAUAAAACCUUGCUGAUGAUGUAAGGCAUUGCUUCAAAUCCCAAACACCAGCGAUAUAAGGAAGAUAAUCCCUAGUUAACCCCUUCGAGCCAAGAAGUAGGAGUUUCUUUCGUAAAUAUAAAACCCUCAAUCUCAAACCGGGGCAGGGUAGUCGUUAGUUAGUUUGACCAAGCGUUCGACCUUCAAAAGAGGAGUGUCAUAUAUGAGGAUCAGCCAGAUCUUAUCCCUCACAAGAGGUCGGAAAACACCGAAUUUCAAAUGGUUGUCCCUCACCCACAGGGGCACGAGGCGAUCACAACGCAUUCCAAUCAAACAGACAUAUGUCACACGAUUUGUUUCGAAACAAAAAGAAACAGGAAAAACAAAAAAAAAUCAAAAAUCAAAAAAGAAGGAAAGCCCGCUAAGUCGAAAAUUCGAAAACGAGUAACUUAGGCAAAAAUUAGGGCAUCCCUGUGGAUUGUAAACCUGAACCAAUCCAGCAAAAGUAGAGAAAUCGAAAAAAAUCUGUAUAAGAGGAAUCAAAAGAAAAUCCUCAGCAAGAACAAAAUCCUGUGGCUACCAAACAAGAGAAAGGUGAUUGUCACACUAAAAACCUCAUGGGUCCAUUAACCUUUUCACUUCAAAUCCCUUCUGAAAGAAGAGCGUUUGUUUCAAACUAGCUGAACGUAGGACUGAAGAACAUCACGAAGAGUGGGUGGGUUAGGAUAGGUUUGAGCCUUGUAUCCUUUCUUUAUAAAACCGUGAACUAGACCACGUUACAACCCUCAAAAGACCUAAUUGAAGCAAGAGUUUAUUUCGAAGGCGUACUAUAGUUAGAAUGAUCGUGUUAAAACUGGCUCCUCAAUAAUUUGCUCAUAAUUUGUGUGGAUAUUGAUAUGACAUUCUCAAUCAGUGAUGCAUUCAUAUAUGUCAUAAUUUCAGUGAGCAUGCUUGGAUUUCAAAAUUAGCAUAAACAUGACAUUGUUAUUAUCAUUUCUAAAAAUUAACAUGCGUUACUCAUGAGUGAGCAAUUGAUGUCAAGAGAUUUCCCAUAAUGAACGUGCAUUGGAAAGCUUGAUAGCCCCAGAAGAGAAUGAUGCCUAAAGACUUUGUUAAGCAAAGGCCAAUUACUUCAACUGAUUGAAUCCUAAGAUAGAACACCUGAGAACUCCGUCGAGCAGAAACAGGUCGCCUUGAUUUGAUCGUACUUAGAGAGAUAAGACGCCUAAGACUCCGUUGAGCAGCGCCAAUUUUUUUGAUCGAUCACAAUGAGUGUUGAGAGCCUGAGACUCCGUUGAGCAGCAACCAACUACCUUAUGUGAUUACAUCAAGGAGCCGAAGGUCCAAGAACUCUGUUGAGCAGAAGGACAAGAUGUUUCAUAUUUCAAUCAAUCUGAGGUAGUUAUGUCAAGAAAUUCCAGCAAGAUUCAGUCAGUCUGAAACAGUUAGGUCGAGAUUCGGCGAAUCUCUCCAAAGAUCAGAUAGUCAGGGGAGUAAAUCACUCCAGUUGAUCGCGUCAGAAGGCCAAGCGCCUAAGACUCCGUUGAGCAGUGCCAAACCAUUUUUGAUCAACCACAACGAGUGUUGAAAGCCUGAGACUCCGUUGAGAAGAAAUCAGCCACUCCGUGUGAUUAUAUCAAGAAGAAGAAUGUCUAAAGAACUCCACUGAGAAGAAAAGACAAGACACUUCAAUUUUCGGUCAAUCUGAAGCAAUCACGUCGAUAAAUCUCUAUAAGAUUUGGUGAUCUAAGGAAGUUACGUCGAGAUUCGACAAAUCUCUACAAGACAUUAGUCAGGGGCAUUCCCUCAGAAAUCGGCAAUCAGAGGCAGAAGUUUAUUCCAAGACCUACAUUGGGAAAAGCUACCUCAGGAAUCUAAGAAAUCAAUCUUUUAGAGAUAGUUAAUCAGAGGUAUACAGUUCCAUGAUACUGGGGCAGGUCCGAUCGAGAUGGCUAUCAUGAUAAAACGACUUCAUAAUUGGUGACUAGGGCAAUACAUGAAAAUUCCCAACAUACUGGGGCAUGGCUAAUUAGAGAAGGAACAUCCUCUCUGUACUCUUGAGGUUGUUCAGAGCAGGAUCCAUGGUGCAUAAGAGACUGCUAAGUUCAAGGAGAAUGUCGGGGAGUCAUGCUAAACACAUCCCCUAACCUUUCAACAGAGAACACUGAUCUUAAUUGAUGAACCCAGUGGUUACUGGUACCCAAUGUUCUCAAUCUCCAGACAUUUCCUGCCAUACCGUCUAACCAAAGGCCUGACCACGCAUCAGCAUUGCAUAAAUAAUCAUGCAAAUGUAUUGUAACGUAGGGGUUUUCCUGCAUCGUAUAAGGUAGAAGAUGGAGCAUUACGCCAUAUAAAAUAAACAUGCAUAACUGCAUAAAAGUCUUUCUCGAAAGCAUAAAAAGGAAAAGAAAAAAUCAGUUGUUGAUACGUUCUUCCUCCCCAACGAGAACAUCAUCAAGAAUCCUUGGAUUGGUAUUCCUCGCAGGUUUUCCCGAGAUAUUUCUUCUUCGUGUUGCCUUUUGCAAGUACCCUUUGGUGUCUUUCAUCAGUCACUUACCUUUCGUAAGUCCUUUUCGGCCGCGUGCCAGUCCUCCUUGCCUUUCGCUUGGAGAAGAUUAUUGAGACAACUUACCUUUCGUGAGUUUAUUUCGUUUCUUUGUGCACGAAAUCACGUCUCCUCCUUGAUGCCUUUCGCACGAGAAGGGUACCUUUGUCAGAUCUUUGCAUCCUGUUUAUUUAAACACUUGAUGUAGGUUUGGUGAGUCCCGGGGUUUGGGUAGCCAUUGUUUGAGAACUUCAUCCCCGUCGUUGUUCCUGAGGGACAAUAUGAGGUUUUCAUACCUAUUUGCAAAGUUCCCCACAUGUCAGAGUGUGCCAAAGCCCAGAUUUGUCUGGCAGAUCCACUUUAGUCUAGGUUUACCUAGCAGGAAUUGUCCCACUCUUUGUUUUGCCUCGUGCAAAUAUUUGUGACCUUUCGUUCUUUACUUACCUUUCGUAAGUAUUCCCUGCCUUUUGCAUGGUAGAACUUCCGCUGCUAGCUUACCUUUCGUGAGUCCCCUUUGUGCCUUUUGCAUAAAGAUUUCUAUCCCCAACUGCUUACCUUUUGUAAGUCUCCUCAGCCUUUUGCUCGAGCAUUGCUAUUCUUGAACUUGCUUACCUUUUGUAAGUGAUCCCUGCUUUUGGCCUGGAAGUAUCCCCCUACAAAGAAGUCAUUACUACCUCUUGUAUGGGAAGAUUUUCCUUUUCGAUUUCUUCUUAACCCUCUGUUAAGAAGUUUCUCACUACCUUUUGAAUGAGAAAUCCCCUCCAUUUUUCUUCUUAACCUUUUGUUAAGAAGUUUCUCACUACCUUUUGUAUGAGAAAUCCCCUCCAUUUUUCUUCUUAACCUUUUGUUAAGAAGUUUCUCAUUACCUUUUUGUAUGAAAAUCCCUUCAUUUUUCUUAUUAACCCUCUGUUUAAGAAGUUCUCACUACCUUUUGUAUGAGAAAUCCCUUCCUAUUCUUUCUUAUACCCUCUGUUAAGAAGUUUCUCUUACCUUUUGUAUGAGAAAUCCUUUCACCUUUCUUCUUAACCUUUUGUUAAGGAGAUCUCAUUACUUUUGGUAUGAGGGAUCAUGUCAUUUCAUGCGCCUCUUAACCUUUUGUUAAGAAGUUCUCACUACCUUUUGUGUGAGAAUCCCCAGCAGACCUUGUGUCUAGGAGUUCCCGUUACCUUUUGUACGAGAAUCUCAUACCCCAUUCUCUUCUUAACCUUUUCUUAAGGAGUUCUCACUACCUUUCGUGUGAAAAAUUCGACCAUCUUUCUUCUUAACCUUUUGUUUGGAAGACCCCUUUUUUCUUGGGCAGAGGAGCCAUUGCUACCUGUUGUACGAAAAAAAAUCAUAUCCCCUAGCAAGGUCGUAUCAUUCCCAUUUUCUUCUUAACCUUUUGUUAAGAAGUUCUCAUCACCUUUUGUGAGAGAAAUCUGUCUACCCCUGUCUUCUUAACUGAAUUUGAAGAUUUUGUUUCUCUUGCUGAGGAGUCGUUGCUACUUGUCGCGAGAAAAUGGCACUUCUUAGUUGAGAUGGUUGCCUUUAGCAAGAUGUCUCUUUGCCUUUUGCAGGGGGUAUUAUUUCAAUUCUUUUAUCCACCGGUACUUGCCUUCUACAAACACCCGUUUCUUUUGCCAUUAUGGGAUCCUGCGGGAAUACCUCAAUCACCUGUUACAUGCCAAGACAUGAUAGGGGAGGCAAGAAAGGAAAAAAAAGAAAAAAAAAAGGAGAAAAGAGAAAAAAGAAAAGAAUGAAAAGAGAAAUGAAAACAGGAAAAUGGAAAAAAGAAAGAGCUUAGAGAAAGACUAAAAUAAUCUAUCAUACUGCAUUAGCAUAUGGCAUAUGUCAUGCAUACCCAACCACCCACGUACUACCACAUGACAUUCUGAUUCCCAGCAGCUGCCCUGCACAAACACUAGCUUGUUCAUCCCACAUAUCCUAGUGAAGAAGACCCUCCUUGUGACCUAUCUUCACAUAACUUUCCAUUUGUUCCGCGUGGGCAAAUUUUCGGAUAUUCUAGUAUUUAAUCCCCUCCCACCUCGAUGGUCCGGACGUCGUUGCUAUCCGUACAUUCAGGUUCGAGAAGAUUAAAUAGGGGCAGCUGUCAUACCCCAAAAUUCACCCUACACAUUCACAAUGUUCAUCUAGGUCACUAACUUAAACAUUUGCAUAUCAUCAUGAGCAUGCAUUUCAUCUACAUAAGCAAGGUUUAACACAAGAGAGCAAUGACUUGAAUUUAGAGCUUUAUGCUUACACCUAGUGGAAACUAGGAUUUCUCAGCAAACUUGGGGUGGCCCCAAUCAAACUCUAGCAUGGAGAUGCUUGUAUCUGGUGUCAAUGGUGGCUUCUUGAGGGAGCAAAACCCUAAUUUAGGGGUCCUCACAUGGUCAUGGCUCCAUAAACCCUAAUCAUGUCCAAUACCCAUUGUGUGGCCUCCUAACCCUAAUUUCAGCUGGCACAUCAUCAAUCUUAUGAUGCUUGAUCUCCUUGCUUGGUUAAUGGCAUUCAACAGUUGCUCGUGGUUCAUUCAUGUUGAGUUCUUGGUUGUGUUCUAUUCACCAUGCUCAUGACCAUUGGUUUUGUGUGCGUAUAGGUUGUGGUUCAUGUCACAUCUUGAUCCUUUCUAAAUCUUGUUUCAUGUUAUUCAUUGAGCAGUUCAUUCAAUGUUCAUAAUGUCCAUUUCACUCUGUUCCAAUACAUGUUCAAGAUUCAUUUAUUCAUAUAAAAACUUCAGAUUCAUUCAUUUCAAGAGCCAUUUAGUUCAAAUACCAAUCCAAGUUCAUUCAAAUGAGGAUGUCAUUCAUUACAUGAUCAUAAAAGGUUCAUUACAUGAAAAAUGCAAAGAGAGGUAUGUUAACCAACAAUUGACUUUUUGACCAACAAUUGACUUUUUGACCAACAGUUGACUUUUUGGUCAACUUUGACCAAAGUCAACUCAAACCCUUAAGUCAUGACCUAUGCACAUUCAAGCCUUGUCAUUCACUCAAGUUUUGAUUCCAUGAGGUUAUGUGAUUCAUCUGUGAAGAGUUCAUUGGCCCUGUCAUGUAGGGCAUUCCAUGUCAUGUUUUAAUUAAUCCAAUACAAAGUCAUGUCUUGAUUCAUGAUCAUUACAAGUGUCCAUUCAUAUUCAAGAAUUAAUUUCAAGUGUCAAGAUCAAGUCAAAAUCUCACAUUCAUUCACAAUCAUUUACAAUUCAUCACAAAUGUCCAAGCAUUGAGAAAAUUACAAAAAAGUGGAAGUUUGACCACAUGUUGACUUUGGUUAAUAAUUGACUUUUUGGUCAAAGUUGACCAAAGUCAACCCAACCACCUCCUCUUCAAAACCCCUUCCUAAUAAAAAGUCUAACCCUAAACACCGGUGGCAUGGUUGACAAUCGUGUUCCAACAAAUGCUGUUCGAACGUUCUCAUCUGAUAAAUCAAACCACAUGGCAGUAACUUCUUCAGUUUCGAUGGUUUCUAUUCCUCCCCAUCUUUCUCCAGGAUCUUCUGCAGCAUUGCAAUAUCAGUCAACCAGCAAUGAAGUCAGACCGCCCAUUAUUUCUGGUGUAAUGCCUAGCAGUCACAUGGGGAGAAAUCCAUCUUCUGUAGGAUUGCCUAGAGUUGAGAACCCACAGUUUAAAGUUACUGGAGGACUGAGUGGGGCCCCUUAUGUGCUUCAGGUCCAAUCUGGUGUAAUGCCUAGCAGUCACAUGGGGAGAAAUCCAUCUUCUGUAGGAUUGCCUAGAGUUGAGAACCCACAGUUUAAAGUUACUGGAGGACUGAGUGGGGCCCCUUAUGUGCUUCAGGUCCAAGCAAAUUCAUUGGAAAACCAAUCAUUAGUGAAUGCUCCUACAUGGUCAAUACAGACUCAACCUGUGUCAUUAGCUAGAAGUGUAUCAGAAAACAAGGCGCCUGCUCAUAAUACUUCCAAGGUGGAAGGAACUUCUUAUGUAACUGUAUCGAGGGCAGGUCCACAAGUAGCAACAGGUCAGAGCAUUAGACCAUUUAUUACUCAAACGGGACCUGGAAAUAUGUCUAGUAUACACCAGCCAUUGCAGGGUGGGAACAUGGUUCAACCUCCUUUGGUUCUUAGUCACUCUGAUAUUGCAAAGAUUGUCCAGAAGUUAUUACUACCAAAGCUUCUUGAACAUCGCACAUGGAUUCCUCCGUCAAGGGAUUAUAUGAAUAAGGCUUUCACAUGUCAGACAUGUGAGCUCACUGCCAGUGAGGUUGAUUCUGUUCUUCUCUGUGAUGCUUGUGAAAAGGGAUUUCACUUAAUGUGCCUGCAACCAUCAGUAAUUAGAGGAAUUCAUAAUAUAGUUGAUUGGCACUGCACGAGAUGCUUGAGUUUAAGCGGCGGAAAGUCUUUGCCUCCAAAAUAUGGCAGUGUGACGAGAUCUUCAAUUACAUCACCAAGUUUUCCCUCUAAUACAAUUGGUAUUCAACCAUCUUCAGAGAAGAAAGCAGAUAGCUUAGAUCUAAAGGUCAGCCCACAAUAUUUUACACAAAUGGAAACUCUAUCCCAACUGUUUCCAGUGCCAACCACAGUACUGAGUCGUCAUUUGACUCAAAUACCCCACACACAAGAGAUAUACAAGGUUCCAUCAUUUCAUCUAGCAUUAACCAUUGAAGAGAAGCCUGAUCCAAGCAUAUUUAUGAAAUAUGCAGCUUGUAGUGUUUCCACUGGCUUGCAGGGUGAAAGUUGUGCUGAACAGAUAGAUUCAAAGGCUUUGACCUGUAAAGAUACUUCUGAAUCAGAAACUCUUCCUAAAUUAUCCGAGCCGGCUAAAUGUGAAAAUUUGCAAUCAUCACAAGAUUCUCAUGUUGAGAUGGCAGUGUCAGAGGACAAUGCUGAAAUAUCACCAGAUAGACAUGAUAGCAGUGGUUUUAUGAUUAGUAAUCAAAAGGAAUCUCAUGGAGGAGAAAAUAUAACUCAUGAUAUCAAGAGCGAUGAUCUAGAUGUUGCACAACCAAUUUCUUUUGGAAGUUCUGGAACUAAUACUGAAGGUAUUCAGCACUCUGCUAUAUCUUCAGAUAGCUCACAUGCUGUUGAAUGGAUUGGUGAUGUUGUACAACUCGUAGAUGAGAAAAAGUAUUACCAAUCUUGCUGCAUUGAUGGAGUAACAUAUAGGCUGCAUGGUCAUGCUUUUUUGACAUCCAACCAUGGCAAACUGAAACCUUCUAAACUUCAGUCCAUGUGGGAAGAUUCCAAAACUGGGAUGAAGUGGGUAAAGGCAACAAAGUGCUACUUUCCCGAUGAUUUGCCGGGAGAUAUUGGUCAUCCUUGUAUAUCUGAAGUCAAUGAGGUUUAUGAAUCUAAUAGUGAUAGGAUUGAAAUGGCAAGCUCAUUCCAUCCUAAACCUGCAUAUCCAUAACACCAUUCAGCAUCAAUAGUGCGCAACAAGGUUAGGAGCAUCGUGUGGUAGCAAGCAAAACAAAGGGUAAAAUGUCCAAUGCAUACAUAACCACACAUACCAAAUCAACGCAUAGUGACCAGAGUUGGAACAUUUAAAUUGAGCUAAGUCAUAUAGACCAAGAACCCCACUGCAACUGCAGAACUACCUCCAAAAGAGGACCAAGGUGAUUCUAAUGGCUACACCAGCAAAAUCCAUAACAGUUGGCAAUGCAAGGCAAGAAAUGGAAUUUGAGUCAUAAUCAUGGUAACUACCCUGUUGCAGAACCAAAGCCAAGAAAACCUGCAGAAACAGGGCAAGUUAUCUGAGCAUACCAACACAGACCUACAAUCCAAAGAACAGUUCAAUUCAAAUCAAUGAGUUUCAAAACAAUAAGCAGUUCAGGAAGUUAAGGGAUCCAAACCAGUUUGGUUCAAUGCAAAUAUCCACUGUUGGGACUUCAGUGAAUAAGUCAAGGAGUGAAGCCUGACAUUCAAUUUUCUGAAUCCCACGUGACUUAAUUCAUGAUGUAAAAACUCACCUUCUCAUUCACUUAAAAUGCCAGAUGGAUGAUUCAGAUUUAACCAUUCAGACUUAAUUCUCCAAUUUUCCCUUGGAUCAAGCUUAUAUAAGAGGCAAUCAUUGCCAAUCAUUGGGGUUCAGACUUUUUUCCCUCAUUCCAAAAGCAUCGUGCAAUCGCUUCCCUCCCAUCUUCAGUACACGCUUUUUUUUUCUUUCUCCAUUAUUGUGAGAGCUUCAUCACUCGAAGCUCUACACGGCAGAGCUAAGCCACCUCCACCGCCGGAAGCUUCGAAGCUCGAAGAACGUUAUCGCUCACACGCUUCCAAUUCACUCCAACAUUGCGAGAAGAGGAAGAGAGGCGCUCAGAAAUUGUGCUCGUGUUCGUCAUCAUCGUCGCCACCUCCGUCGUCGUCUUCGACAGGUAGUGCUUAAUCCAUAUGCUUACUCUUUGAUUUAUUUGCUAUGAUGAUGCAUUGGAGUGUAGAUGAUGCUAUUUGUCACCGUUGCGUAAUCGUUUGUGAAGUUCUGGUAGAAUCUUCAUAUGAGAACUGAGAGCAUUUCUGCUUGUGAAUAAGCGCGUUUGAAUAAGCGUUUUUCUGUUUAUUUGUCAUUUUUGUGACUUGCUUUCAAUAGAUACAGUGUAGUGAAUUGGUUAAACACCAAGCAACGAUGCCAUGCGAAUUGUGGCUGCACCACUCUUUUGGUAUUCACACCCCCUGCCUUCGAAGGAAAAGGCUAACGGGCCUUGGGGUGGGCCUUAAUGCUCUGGUUGCUAUUCAGGCCAUUCUUGUUAAAUUCUUACUCCUGGUUUUUUGAUUUAAGAAUAUUAACAUUUGGGAUUAGCAUAGGUUUAUCUCAGAUAAUUGGAUUUAUAGAUGGUAAUUAGAGUGCAAUUUGAUAGCUUUUAUUUUAGAAUAGAAUUUGUUAGAAUUUAUUUUCGCUAAUAGUGUGGAAUUGUAUUGUUAGUAAUUUUAGAAUUUCAUUUUUUGUUGUUAAUCGUUUAACAUUUAGAAUUUUGUUAGAUUUUUAUGUUGAUAUAAAUUUCUUGUAAUUUCUACUUGAUUUAACAUAUAACAAACUACCUCUAACAUUUAAUUUUCGCACUUCUAACAUCUAAUUCUUUACAAUUCCACUUCUAACUCCCUUAAUUUCCGCAUUUUAAAUUCCGCAAUUAACUUCUAACAUUUAAAUUUGUUCCUUUAUUUCACUUUUAUUUUGCUUUUUGUUACAUAUUCAUCUCAUUCUAAAAUGAACAUAAAAAAGGCAAAGACUUAAAAAAUGAAAGAAAGAUAAUAAUUCCCAAGCAUGAAGAGAACUUUGGACAAUGGACUUAGAGACUCAUUAGGAUCCUUUGCAAAGGAGGACUUUGGACAAAUGUGAUCUAACAUGGAAGAAGCGUGCAAGAAUCAAAAGAAUUUGUAAUAUCAAUUGUAAUCUUUUACUUGCUUUCCCAUUUAGAACACAAUUGCACACACAUGGCUUUCUCUUGGGCUACCUGACAAUGAGACCUUUUAUUUCUUGCAAUCCCUUGUACUUUACAUGUACCCCCCUCCCCUUUCCGAUGUACGCAUUUAAUUGCUUUCUUUUAUUGCUUUAUAGUUACUCCUUAGGCAUUAGGAACGUUCACCAUUUCGCAAUCAAUAAUCAAACUCGUGAUCCAACGUCAAGCGGUCUCUUUCUUAAUUAAAAAACAAUAAACAAACCCUUGAUCCAACGUCAAGUGGUCUCUUUUUCCAAAUCAAACUCAAAAAACACAAUAAAUGGCGAUUAGGAUCGUAUGUCACGAGCCUUAAGCGAUAAAGAAGGGAUGAGACUGGAGCUUUCCUACACUCAUUCUGAAUGCUUCGAACACAAGACAUUUGGCUUGACCGUUUGAGGUAUUCACCUUUAUCCAUAGUCUUUAAUGCAAUCCGAAAUCAAUAAACACUUUUCUCAAAGCUUAAAAACAAUUCCACACAUUCAAACCUUUUGUUUGAGCCUUAAGGCGACACAUUCGAAAACCCUUCUUCAAGGUAAUAAAAUCAAUAAAAUAAGCCAAACAAUUUCAAAACCACGAACUACGAAGGCUCUGAUUUCUCACUUCAACAAGUGGGCAUACAUAGGCACGGGGAUCCAUUCCAUGGCGAGCACACUAAUUUAAAAUCUACCUCCAUCUCCGCAAACCUUUGGUAAGCAAACAUUUGAUAAACAACACACACGUAAGCGCAAACAUCCUAGAUGGUUCCCAUGGAGUACCAUGGAUGUGAGGGGUGCUAAUACCUUCCCCUUGCAUAACCGACUUUCGAACCUGUUCGUGGUUGCGACGACCAUAUUUUGGGGUUUUCUCGAUAUUUUCCCAUUCCUUUGGAAUAAAUAAAAACCGAUGACGACUCUGUAUUUUUCGAGUAGCGGCACAUAACCUCUAUAUGGGAUGAGGCCAGGCUGAUUCGUCUCCCAUUCACCCUUAAUCUGAUUAACAACAAGGGCCGAAUCACCAUAAACAUCAAGAUGUUUGAUCCUAAGAUCAAUACACUCUUCCAAUUCCAUAAUACAGGCCUCAUACUCAGCCAUAUUAUUCGUGCAUUUGAAAGUUAGCCUUGCUGUGAAAGGAAAAUGUGUGCCCUGAGUAGUAAUAAUCACUGCCCCAAUAGUAUUUCCAUAUUGAUUCACAGCGCCAUCAAACACCAAAUUCCAUCGAGAAUCGGGCUCUGGCCCUUCAUCGAGCGUAGGCUCAUCACAAUCUUUCAUUUUCAAAUACAGGAUCUCCUGAUCUGGGAAGUCAUACUGAACUGACUGAUAAUCUUCAAUUAGUUGAUGUGCCAAGUGGUCAGCCAAGAUACUACCUUUUAUAGCCUUCUGAGCUCGAUACUCAAUAUCAUACUCAGACAACAACAUCUGCCAACGGGCGAUCCUCCCAGUUAAAUAAGUUCAAAUAUGCAUGAAAUGAUGAAUUAAAGAACUUCCCUUGAUUGUAUUUGACCAUGGGUUAAGGUUGCUUCAUGAGCAAGGCACAGUUGAUAGACAGAUGAGCUAGGGUUUCCUUGGGAAACAAACCUCAAACCCCUUGAUUUGCUUUGAUCAAAAUGAUGAAUUAAGAUACUUGGGAGACAUAUUUGAUGGAUGGGAGCUUUGGUAACCAUUACCAUGCUUGCUUUCAUCUUCUCUUGACCAUACCAUUGCACAAAGGAUCUCCUAGAAGCUUUAGACCUUGUGACUGCUCAAACUAUAAACAAAAGAUGUUAGUGACAUAUUUUUGUGCUUUUGAGUUAGGAAAUGGGAAAAGCAAUAAUAUACAAUUUUAGCAUGCUUGGUGAUCUCAAAUCACUCACCAGAAGUCCCAAUCUAAAGGCAAAGGGAAUCAAGAUGCUUAUGAUCCUUUAGGCUAUGCAAAUGCAAUGUAAUGAUGCCAUGAGGGAUCUUAGGGUCAAAAUUAGGGUCUCACACGUGGUACCUUACCAUGUUUCGUAUUCUACUUAAGUACACCGUAUCUUACGAUGUUCUACAAUUCACUUAAGGGCACCGUACAUUAUGGUAUUCCUUAGUUACUCUAUCUCUCAUCAAUCCGUCCUUUUAUGUGUGACCCUGUAGGUUUUCGCGGCAUUGACAAUUAUAUUAAAUCAUGUAUUUAACAUAAUAAACAGUGAGCGGUAUCUAGCAAUACAUCAUUGCUACCCAAGAGACGAAAAUGUCAUGUGAUCUGACAAAUCCUUUUGUGAUAAUACUUAUGUGUACAAUUAUCCUUUUGCCCUUAUGUCUAUAUUGAACACAAGCCAUAGACCGUGUCAUCCUUGUCCAGUUCAAUAUUGGGCCCAUAGACAUUUAUCCUGUUAUGCAGGAUGGGCAAAUUCCAUCUAGGUGACUCAUGUCCCUUAGCAUGCUUCGUGGAGUACCCAUCAACUAUUUUUAUGGUCAUCCAGUUACAGACAAUGUUUGAUCAGCAAUAAGGCACUCGACUCUACAUCUAGGGUCCAUAGUGGUUUUAGGCCGAAGGGUGGUAUACACCAUUAUCACCAUGAGAAUAACUUAUGACACUUUGCAUAACAUUCUAUAUAGUAUUCUCAUAGCGGGUCAAUCCAGUAUAAAUAUUACUCUUAAUAUUCAUAUCUAUGUUUAAAAUUGAUAACUCCUUAUCCAUGAUCCAAAGAGAUGUGAUCAUCAGUCUAAUACAUAAUUAGUCUAAUGCGUUUAAUGUUAUCCCGAUUUUUUGUAUUUUUUAUUUAGUUUUUUUUAUUAUGGUUGUUUUUAAUAAGUCUAGACAUGCUAGUUUGUUUAAUGUAAUCAGUUUGUGACUUAAUCAAUGAGAAUCCAACAUUUACACAUAAGGAAAACAACUAUUUUCUUUUUAAGAAGUUAUGCCAUAGUCGAAGACUUUUGCCACUUCACAAUAAAGUUCGACUAUGGAUACUUUAAGAAUAGUGUCCUUAUGUGUAAUGUGAUUCUCAUGAUUAAGUCACACUUGAUACAUUAAACGGACUAGCUAUUCUAGGGACUUUAUUAAACAAACAUAAUAAAGAAAAAGCCUUUUAUUAUUAAUAAAUAAUUCUAUACAAGUACCAAAAGUAUUGGCCUCUAGGGCUUACACCAACAUGUACUCCUCUACAGAUAUUAGAAUUGGAAUGCAUCAUGUGGCCAAUAAUUCGGUGUUGGGCCUCUAUAAUUGGAUAAUGGAAUUGAUUCCUAAUAUUAGUCGGGGUCUUGGGAUUGGAUGUCGUGUCUUAAAAAAUAAAAUAUCUUAAAUAAGCACUUAAACGAAUUUUUAGUAAUAUAUGUUUUCAAAUUCAAUAGUGUACAUGAUAACAUAUUUUUCAGUUGGUUAGAGCAUUGUGCUAAUAAUGUGAAGGUUGCAGUAUUUUAGUUGUUUUUUUAUUUGUUUCUAUAUGUUAUGUUUUGCAACCUUUUAUCCUAUUUUUUUAUUUAGUCAUUUACAAUCAUAUAUCCAUACAUACCUACAAACUUAACUCGUUUAACAAGACUAUAUGUUUUGAUAUAUUAUGUUUUGCAACUUUUUAUCCAUUUUUUAUUUUUAUUUGGUCCCUUGCAAACAUAUUUUUAUUUGUUUUUAUAUAUUAUGUUUUGCAACCUUUUGUCCAAAUUUAUUUAUUUAUUCAAUCCCAUAUAAUCAUAUGCCCAUACACAACUAUCAAUUUAACUUAUUUAACGAGACUAUAUGUUUCUAUAUAUUAUGUUGUGCAACCUUUUAUCCAAUAUUUUUAUUUAUUCAAUCCCCUGCAAUCAUAUGUCCAUACACAACUACCAAAUUAACUCGUUUAACGAGACUAUAUAUUAUAAUAUUUCACUAAUAAGUUAAACAUUAGAAAAUAUAUGACCUUAUGAUAAAGGAAAUGAUUAGCUAAUAGUAACUUGAAAAAGUCCCACGAAGAUUUAAAAUUAGAAGACAACUCUAAUAAACAUCCUUUUGCAUAGAUGCAUCUGUACACAGAACAUGUUGAUGACUUUUUCAUGAGUUGAAAUCUUUUUUCUUCCACCUUUAAAGUGUAUACAUCCAUCAUUGUGACACUAGAUUGUGAUGAAUAAGUCACAUAUGGAAUAUCGAUAUUUCACAUUGGAUUGGAAUAUCUUUGAUAGAGACCUAAAGAGCUUGAUACACGAGCUCUCCAAUAUUUAAGUAACAACGGGGUGAGUACUUGCUGGAUGUUGAAAUGUGCAAUUGCAAGCGAGUUACUUGAGGACAAACAACGAUUCAAGUUUGGGAUUGUGAUGAAAGUCCGUCAUCGCAUAUAUUUAGUCGAAGAAUCAGAGCAAAAUAAGUGAAAGUUAAGCCAAAAUGAAGAAGAAUGACCAAAGAAUGAGGAAAAAAUAGUUAAGUGUGGAAGUUGUGAACUUAGUGAAAAUUUGAGUGAAAAAAGAGAAAAAAAAGGAUGCAUCUUCGGGAAUAAUCACAUACACCAUCAUGCAGCAUCGCGCAUGCGAUAGGGUCAUUAAAGCUGCAUCACAUGCGCGAUGCAAGGUAUCACACACGAUAGGGGAUGCAUCUUCUGGACUUUUCUGACGCGUUCUUGUCCAUUAUAACGCCUUUAAAAGGGGAUUUUCUACACUUCCAUAAGGGUUACAAAAUUGAGAGAUCAAGGCACAAUUUUGAGAGCAUACAUGGUGAUUUUUAGAGCAUUUGAAGUCAUUGGAGGUCAUCACUUCAAGGGAUUUAUUAUGUUAUUUUCAUCUAUCAAUUUUGGAAUUGUUAAUUGCACUAUGAGUAGCUAAGCUCCUCUAGGUUAGGUUGUGUUAUGAUAACCUAUUUUUAUAUUGUUAAAUUCUAUGUUGAUUUGAACAUUGUAUGAACCUAUUGAUCUAUAAUCUUAUUCAAUUGCUUCUUGUUCGUAAUGUUUUUUAUGUGAGAUACUCUUUUAAUCUGAUUUUGGGCAUAUAGGGAAUAUUUACCAUUAGUAUAUAUGUUGGACCUAGGGCAAUUAUUGUGUUUACGCUGGUUGAAUAGGAAUAGGAGACCCCGAGUAGUGGCAUAGAGAAUUAACAUUAUAUCCAUCGCCUAACCCUGCUUACGCUGGCGGACUAGGGAUAGAAAGCUCCAAGUAGUGGUUAGUGAGUUAUUUCAUGAGAGAUCGACUAUAACGGUUUUGUUAAUUUGUCGUGGGGUUAUAUUGAUUAUAUCAUUCGUACAAGAUAUCAAACAUCAACAAAAGAGGAAUAAUAGAUUCUAGAGCACAACCUGACCACUUCGUGAUAUUGUUUACUCGUUUAUUUACUUUUCGUACUAAAAUCCGAAACCCCCAUUUUUUUACUAGUUUUUAUACAUUGCACGCAUUUUGUCUUGCUUGGAGGCAGUCCCUGUAGAUUUGGUCUUUUUAUUACUUCGACAUUAUCGGUACAUUUUCCGAGAAGUCAUCAUUAAUCCAGUUACCAAACUCUAUACAUCUAGAAAGGUUAGCUCGUGAUCCUAGUUUUAUCUCCCCUGAACACUUAAUCUCAUUAAAAUCCCCUAUCAUUAACCAAGGAGGAGAGAUGUCACUUAAUCUCCUACCAAAUAUCCCAUAUCUCAAACUCCCUAGGGCUGACAUAAACCACUAUUAACAAUUAUGAUUAUUGUCAUUACUAACAUUAACAUGGAGAUAAUAUUGAUAUUCUUGAACCCGGGUGAUAUUUAAGUCAUCUCAGUUCCAUAUCCACCAAAUACCUCCAGCAAAUUCCCAAGCCUCUAUUAUAGUAUUCUUGCAAAACCCAAGAUUCUUAAUAGUAUUAUUGGCUUUAAUACCACUACAUAUUAUUUCUUGAAGAGCAACCAUAUUCACUUUAUAAUAAAUACAAUAAUUUUUUAGUGCUCUGCCAAAAAUAUUUCCUUGAGCUCCCCUGCAAUUCCAAGAUAACAUAAUCAUUAAACAAAUACAAUAACUAGCAAACCUUAACUAUAGUUUACUCAUCUUAACCAAUUUCCAUGUCCCCCGCAUUAGCCACAUAUGUGUUGCUCUUUAUAUCCUCAUCUUGUUCGUCCCAGGUAGAAAGCUCUUUAGGUUGCACCUUGUUUUGUAGUCCCAUUAUGUCACCUGGAAUAUCUAGCGAACUCGAACGUGGGGUGAUGGGUGUAGAGUUCGUAUGGGUAAUUUUAGAAGUAGACAAAGUAAUGUGUUUUUCAUUAUCUAGACUAUUAUUUAAAUAAGAACUAGAAGGAAAAUUCGAGGGGGGGGAUAGACAAAGUAAUGUGUUUUUCAUUAUCUAGACUAUUAUUUAAAUAAGAACUAGAAGGAAAAUUCGAGGGGGGGGGGGGACUUCAACAUCAUACUUUUUCCUUUUACCUUUUGAAGAUGUGAGCUUACUGCUAAUAUAAUUGUUGGGCCCAUUUUUAGCUUUUUGGCGCGGGGACAAUAACUUCGUCCUAUUCUUUUUUAUAUAAUGUGAAGGAAUUGAACCGAUUCAAUUUGUGUUAUCUUGUUGUAUGGUCUGAAGAAAUUUCACCAUAGAAUUAUAAUUUCAAUCUAUUUUGGUCAAAGAAUAUUUUUGUUGACUAAUUAAGGUCAACUUUACAACAUUUUAUUUUUUUGUAAUUUUGUCUUCUAAUGACUGUUAUCCUUUUCCCAUGUAGGAUAUUCUCAUAGCUUGUCAAAUUUUUCCCACAAUUGUUGUACAGGCACGUGAUAAUGCAUUACAGGCUAUCUUCUCUAUAUAUGUUAUGGAGCAUGUGUAGACGCGUGGGAAUAGUUGUUCUAUUAUUUUGACGCAUUGGAAGCCAUAUUUGGAUCUAUCUGUAAGUUUUUUCCGCUAUGAUCAUUCCGAGUUUCCUGAUUUUCAUAUUUUGUAUAAUUUUGCUUGCUACACUUUCUCCUCAGAUGACCAUAAAAUCUACAAUAGGUACAUAUAAUAUGAAGUCUUUCGUACUGUAUUUUGUACCAAUGACCAUUAACCCAAAUUUUUCCAACCAACAGAAGUGUGAGAUCCACUUCUAAGCAGACUCUGGAAAAUCUUCCAUGCCCCACUUCAGAGUAUUGUUAUCGACUUUGAUUGGUGUUCUAACUGCUGAAGCCAUAGAAAGUAAAAAGCUCUCAUCAUGAUAAACCAAGUUUUGACCAGGAAACCUUAUCUAGACUAUAGUUCUAUCCACCUUCGCAUUUGGUGUACAAAUUCUGGUGUCUGAUGGGAUAUUGCAAGAUAGUGAUCAAAUAAUAUCAAAGGCCCUUCUAAAAUAACCAUUUCUUUAUCAGUAGCUUGAUAAAAUUUAACCAUGUAGAAUCUAUUAUCAAUCUCGAUGAUCUUCAUUCCUCCUUGCAGUUCCCAAACUAUGGGGAAUCUCUCUUUCAUAGUAUUGUAUCCAAUAUUUUUACCGAACAACUUGAAAACAAUUGUAUUUAUCCACAGAGUACACAUUUCCUUAAAAACGACAUCCUCCAAAUGAAUCUUUGGAAGAAGUUUGUUCAUGUGUUCAAAUUCCAUUUGAACCUGCUUCUUAGUGACCAUGUCCUCUUUUUCUCUAACAACGAGAAUUUUUGUGGAUCCAAUCAACUUAUCACAAAAAGAGAUUUUCGAUAGGGUAGAUUUUUUAUUGAUAUCAGGAGAUUUCUUGUUACUAGUUUCCUCUACGGUAGAGAAAGCAAAUUUUGGUUCCACCACAAAAGAUCAACGCUAAAAAAAAAUUAGAGAGAGGGUAGAGCUUUUAAUUGUUGGAAAUUUAACUGAUAUACCAAAAUGAAUGAGAUAUACAAUUAUACGGCAUAAAUUAGAAUAUUAAAAAUGUACCUUAUUUGAUCGAAGGAUAUUUAUUUAGAGUGUGAUAAUCUUCUACCUAUUCAUAAUUUUUGUUUCUAUGAGUGUAUGAUAAUCUAAUGGGAUGGUUAAUAUAUAUAAGUGUGUCAGUUGAUGGAGACCUAUCAAUAAACUAACUAUAAGGAAGCAACUCUAUUAGACGAUAGUACCGAUCUAGAAGGGGGUUGAAUAGAUCAGUAUUUAAAUUUAGCGCUUUUUAAAAAUGUUUUCAAAAGUUGCGAAAGCUUCCUAGACGACAAUCAUCUAAACGAUCCGUUAAUGGAAAGAUCGGAUAUGCGUGAAACCAAAUGGAAUAACUAAGAUAGAGAUAAUCAAUUACUAUCUUAACCAAUUGAUCAAUUACCUCAAUCCUUGAUAUAGUUACCACUAAGGAUGAGUUAACACAAUAAGAGAACAAGUAAAAUAUUGAUAGACUUGUGUGAGGUUAAUUUUAGCAAACACUUGGUGUGCACUUCACACCAAGUCUCAAUUUCACUCAAAUUGAAUGUGCAAAAUUUUACUUAGUUGCAAUCAAAGUGAUUGCACCAAUUUAUCGAACAACUUCUAUGCACAACAAUUAAGCGAGAUUAAUUUUACUGUUAAAUUCACACAAGACUCAAUUAAUGAAGAAUUUAAAGGGUUAAGAGAAAGAGAGAACAACGCCAGAUUUGUUUAGGCAGUUCCCCUUUCGUCCUUGCUUAGGGUACGUCUGCCCCCAAUUCUAAAACUAGAAUUGAGAUAUUUAUUAUCAAAUUGCAAAGUUAAUACAAGAGAAGAAAUGAUCACUACCAAUCAACCCCAAUUGUUGUUGCGGAUCCUAUUCACUUCUCUCCCCUUGAUUCGAGUUGAACCAAGUCCUUCAAGCGUUCCGAACAAACCUCUGGUUGCAGCUACCUUAUUGCAAGAACUUUACGUUCUCCAAAACUCUAGCUCGGCUGAUUUCGACCGGAUCUGCGUGAAACCUCCGGUUGUAGCUGCCUUAUUGCAAGAACUCAACGUUCUCCAAAAUUCUAGCUCGGCUGACUUCAAUCGCAAGACGCUUGAACCCUAACCUUCCUUCACAAUCCUCCGGUUAUCGUUACUUGUUUGAACGAACCCACCAUUCUUCAAACCUUUCACUCGGAUGAACCUAUGAAGCAAAGAUUAGUGCAAAAACCCCCAAUUCUUGGAGGACAAAACCCCAAUGGUUUUAUUCAAGAAAAACCCACUCAAAGCCUCUACCCAAACUAAGAUUACACAAUCCUAUUUGGACGUUAUCACCACAGCAAUGCAUAAUGAUCAACAAAUAUUGUUAUGCGUAGUUAUUGAGAAAUACAAUGAAGAAUGAAGAUGAAGAGCACUUUAGUGUAUAUCUUUCACUUUCCUUUUUGGUUGUUAAAGAAGAGACUCUAGAAUAUUUAUAUGAUGUAUGGACAAAGUAACAAACAUACAAAAAUGCACAAUAGAAAAUUGAGUUCCAACAGCGACCACUCGACCUAUUCGCACAGGUCACUCGACCUGUUCAUACCCGAGGCAAAAACUACUCAAAUGAAGCAGGAGAUGAGUCAACUUAAACAGGGGAUGAGUCGACUCAAACAAGGUUUUUCUAGAGUUGAGUCGACCUAUGACUCGACCUGUUCACACCCGUGGCAAUCAUGGUUUAAAUGAAACGGGCAAUAAGUCGACGCAAUCAUGUGGAUGAGUCGACUCAUUUGAUUUUCCCAGGAUUUAGUCGACCUAUGACUCGGAAUGUUCAGGCCCGAGAGUUUCACAGACUGGGAUAUGUAUGAAUGAGUCGACCGCUCCAGGAUGUGAGUCGACUCAAAGUUCUUAGACUGUCAAAAAAUGAUUUUUGAGAUGUAUUUUGAUCAUUUGAAACCAUUCUUUUAUGAACCUAAGGUACUAACGAUGAUCAAGUGCAUUAUUCAAGUUAAUGAGACGCUCCUAUAUGCAUGGACACAUUUCACUUAUACUUUGAGCAUGUUGGAGGAUGAAUUCAUUUUAUGAUAUGAUGACAUCGUCCAAAGCACACGUUAUGAGCAACUAGAAAGGUUUGACAUCAUUAAAAUAAGGACUAGGAAUCUUUAUCCUCACACACUCCCCCUUUUUUAUGAUGGUAAACGGUGGCAUAAUCACGUACUUUUAUGGACAUCAUCCCCCUGAUUUUAUGCAUGCCUUCAAACAUUCGGCUAUUACAAAUCUGCUAUGCCUUCAAAUAUUCGGCUAUUUUAAAUCUACUAUUGUGUUUCCAUUGCUUCUCCCCAUUUGACAACAUAAAAAAGAAACAAUGAUAUGGUCAACGAGAAACAAAGAUAUUCAUAAGCACUUAGUCAACUACUUUGCAAAAGAUAGACAUUAACAACCAUGCACAUAACAUGAAGUCAAUGUAAUAAUUAUAGGCAUAAAUAUUGCACUGAGCAAAAGAAAAUAAGUAAAUAACAUUGCCAUAAUUGUUUAACAUAUACUUUAAGACAAAUAAGUAAGACAAUAACAUGCAAACAUAGAGAAACAGAAAUGCAUUGAAUGAAUCAAUCAUCUAAGAUCGUCUCCCCUGUGACGGGUCAUUUUUGCCUCUAUAACCAGAAGGUUGACGUGAAGAUCCGUCUUCUUCAUAGAGGCCUGUGAAUUUAAUAACGUUCUGGUUAAGCGUAUUGGAGGAUCCUGAGAGAGAGCGAUGGGGUGGCAUCAACCCAUUGCAUGAUUGUGGAGGCAAAUGAAUUAAAGUUGUCAUUGUGGGUUUGGAUCUGAUUCCUUAAGUUCGAGUAUUGUUCCUCUUGGAGAGAAGCAAAAGAUGCAAAGUUGUCACUUUGAAUCUGAAGCUGAUCCUACAAGGCCGUAAAUCUCUCCUCUUGAAGUGUAGAAAAUUUUUGCUAAUGUAUUUGCAUGUUUCCCAACAUUUCCAUCACUUCAGAAUUUUCAAAUUAAGAAGGAGGUGUAGGAAUAUAGGAUGAUUAGUUGCUGGUCCAUCCGAUGUGUUGCCAUUCUCCCUAACCUUAGUUAUCAGAUGGAUUUUAUUCAGGAGUAGCACCAAUCCAAUCACCAUGGUCAGUAACUUAUUGAUCAUGCUUCAUAGGUUGAGAGUCGUCGUCAUUAUUAUCUUCCUCGUCUUCAUCAUCUUCAUCAUCAUCAUCAUCAUCAUCAUCAUCAUCAUCAUAUUCUUCCAAAUGCUGAGUAUUAGAACUUGGAACUGGUUUACGGGUCUUGUAUAUUCGCGUUGUAGGAUCCCAAGUGUAGCCCAUCAAACUUAAUGUUUUCUGACCAAACUCUUGAUUUGUAGUCACGGAGUUAUACUGAAUUCCUUGAACUAAAACUUUAGAUCUAUUUAGGAUACUUUGAAUAAAUGAAGGAUAGCAGAGAGUAGUGCCUCGACCUGACUCCUUUAAAGAAAAGACCAUGCUUGCAACGUAGUGCAUCCAAUUUACUUUUGCUUGUAUUUCAACACAUAAACCAGGUGCACUUCGGCCUUGUCCACUCUGGAGUAACCUCCUUGUUUAGGACGGAGAAUAUGCGUCAUAACCCAUUGUAAAAUCCUGUCAACAGGCUUCAAAAUACCAGUAAUCACAUUGGUAGGGAACAAAUUGCUCUCAACAACAUUUGCAGAAAACAAUCUCUUCAGCAUUGAGUUUAAGGCAUUUCCUAAACUCAUAGUCUGGAAAAAACACGGUGUCGGUAAUCUUGAGAUCAUUAGGAGACGAUAAUGGAGAAAUCUCAAACAGAGACUUCCAAACAUCAUCAUUCACUUCAAUAACCCUAUUACCAAUAUUGCAUGAAAACUUAUAACCCUCGAAUUUUUCAUCAACGCUAGUAUAAAAUAGUUUGACUAAAUCUUCAUUAUACUUAGUGGUACAGUCUAAGAACAAAUCAAUUCCUUGAAAAUUUAUCCGCUCAACAACUUCUGGAAUGCGCAUGUGUCCAGCCACUAAUGGUGAGUAAACGUACUACUUUACAACUAUUCUCUUUUUAAACUUCUUUUUAAAUGUUUCAGCAAGAUCAUCACAGAGUAAGGAUAAAGCAGUUACCUGGAUAUUUGAUCGAGGUGGUGCAGUCCCAGUGUGAGAGGAGGAUCCUCUUGCAGUUCUUUUUCCAGAUGCUCUUAAAGCCAUUUGAAUGUUGUUUCUAAGGAGAUUUUAGGGUUUGUGUGAGGAAGAGAGUGAGAGAGGGAGAAGACCAAAUGAAUUGAUUAUGUAGUUAUAAAAAAGGCCUUGAAAAGUGAGUCAACCUAUUUAAGACUCGGAUGAGUUGUCUCGAGGCAACGAAGAAUCGACGCAUGGGCCGACCUAUUGGGACCCAAAAUUAAUGCAACCUCUGCAAUGAGCAGCGAAGAGUCGACUCAUUCGUGUAAUGAGUCGACACAUUCAUGUUUGAAACCCCAAUUGAAUAGACUCUGGGUAGCAACGAGUCGACACAUGGGUCAACCUGUUGGUAAUACAAGGAUGGAAUUCACAACAAUGAGUCGACAAAUGGGUCGACCUGUUGGGACCCGUGUAGCGGGGUAUUCGUUACCAUUAGAGAUAUUGACUAAAUCCAAGGUAAACCAUACAAGUCGAGUCGCCACCGCGCUUCUAUUUAUCCAAAGGAAUGGUUAGAAAGCGAAUAAAAACCUAACAGUUUUAUCGAAUCAAAAACUAGUAAAAAUGUCAGAGAUCUGGGUAAGGGGGUUGGUUAUGCAAUGGGAAGGUUUUAAGCACCCAAAACAUCCUAGGUACUCCUAGGGAGCCCUUUUCACAUUUGUUGUAAGAGGUUGGUACUUUGUGAAAAAAUUGUUUGCUGCAAACAUUGAUUGAAGAGAUGAGAAGACGAAUAUAUCAAGUUUAUUUACAUUUUGGUUUGAGAUGGAUAAACCCAUUGCCUACGUACCAUCUUAAAAAAGAUUAAGGAUCAAAACCUCGUGAUCGGGUAAAAUUUCAAAAGAAGUUGGUGGAAUUGAUGUGGUCAAAGAGCCUUAAGGGUCUGUUUGUUAUCCAAGGGAGAAGACUCAACCUAAAACCACAAAUCCACCAUGUGAGGAUAGCUUCAACAUGCUGAGUGAGGGUUAACGCCUAUGAAUAAGCAUGCGAGACUCAUUGUCCAUCACUAGGAUAUAGGUGAGCAUUAUAUCUAACCUCAAAGGAUAACUCAAACCUAACAGCCCGUAAGGUUAUGAAAAAAUUUGAUUAAAAGUGGCCCAUUUUGAAACCGCAAAGGGACAUUGAAUGGUUAUAUUUAACAAUAGAAGUAUUUACAAAGUAUCGUCAAAGUGGAUUAAGAUUCAAUUCAAAAUAAAGUGUUAUGAAAGAAGAGUUUGAAAAUGCAAAAGCCUAAGGCUUAGGUUUCUAACUGUUGAAAACCAAUGUUAAAUGUUUGCCACAAAUUUUGGCUUGGGUUGAGAGUGGAGAGAAGAAGCAGAAUGGAAAAGUCCUAACAUACAAGAGGAAGGGACAAAGAAGGGCAAAACCACAAAUGGGAUUCCUCUUUUGAGAUCAUAUUGAUGAUCCAGUAAGCUCCCUCCUUUGGAAUGAAGAAAUCACAAUAAUAGUAAGCUCAAGCAAUCCAACAAUAAAUGAACUCUUGGAAAACUCCUUAAUGUAUCUUGGAUCCCUCUCUUAGAAGCUCAUGGCUUCAAUUGGUUCCUUCCAUUUGAACUCAAGUUGGGAAUCCCUCGCAAACUAGAACACACACAUUAAAAAGUGUCAUAAUGCAAUCAAAGAAUGACAAGAGGGAGUUUAAGAAUUUAAUCCUUCUCCAAGCUCAUCUUCAGUUGCAUUCUAGCAAGCUUCUCUACAUUUAGCACUCUAAAGGCAUGAGGCCUAGUUGCUCCUAGUUGCUCUUCAAACUCCAUUAGCUUGGGAAAGGUCCUAAAAUCUAAGUCCAUUUAUCCAUUUCUUUGCAUUUUGGUCCACAAAAAAAAAAAAAACAAGACACAAACACAAUAGUAUAUACACAAAUAUGUGCUCAAGUGAGCAAAAGGCAAAUUGCAUUAACAUAAACAUGUGCUCAAGUGAGCAAAGGAAGAAGCAAAUGAAUAAUAAGUACAAGAAUAGUAAAUUGCAUAAAUGUAAAGAGCAAAAAGUAAAUGUUAAUGGUUAAUGGUUAAUGUUAGUAGUUAGUGUGCCAUAAGGCAAAUGUAGCGCUAUGUUAAGCAAUCGUAAUUGGACUUAUGUAGAAGUCACAACUAUCUGAGGCCGGUCAAUAAUAAUGUGGGCAACAAACACAAGUUAGAAGUCUUGAUUAGUGAACCAAGUUCCAACAACUUGCCAUGCCAAAAAGAAAAUGGGAAAUGAUCUUGUAUUGGUUUAAGUCCUUUGCAUGAUUUAGGAAGCAACCUAUCCAUAAUGCAAAGCCAUUCAUUUGAUCAAUUGAUCAAGAUGAAUUAGAUUUGAAUCAAGGAAGAUUAAGCCUCCCUAAUCAAUGCUAACUUAUCAACCUUUAACUCAUUGAUCAAAAAGAAAGAAGAAGAAGAAGAAGGAGAUGAAUAAUGGAUAAUGAAAAUGGAAAGAAUAAAGUGCAUUAAAUAAAAUGGAAUGUACCAAUCAACAAGUAUUGACCAAUGACAUUGAGGAUCAUGGUCAAACAAUCAAAAACAGAAGUGAGAUGAAGAUUGGAAGUCAAGAAAUGAACAAAAUAUUUUUGGCAUUUUUAAUAUUUGAAAAUAAACUUGAAUUAAAAUAUUAAAGAAAGGUCAAACUUCAAAAUCACUUCAAAUCAACUUUGAAAAGUCCAAGUGAAUUAUCCCAAGUUCAACAAGGUCAAACAAAGUUUGACAAAAAAUUUCAGCAUUUUUAAAAGUCAGAAACUAUUUUUAAUCAAUUAAAAAUGAAUAAAAAUAACCUAAUUGAACUAAAAUCUCAAAUAAAUCUCAAAUCAAUUAAAAAAUUGAUGAGAAUAUUUUUCAUAGAUCCAUCAUCAUUCAAAGAGGUUGAGGAAAUAUUUUUGCAUUUUUUGAAUAUCAAAAACUAUUUAAAAUGAAUUAAAAAUAACCAAAAAAGAGAAAAUUCACAAAAAAUAUCAAAUGAUGAAAUAAAAAAUAUUAAAAAUCAUUUUUAGAAACUAGAAUUAAAAAGAGAAAUAAUGCAAUUGGUCCCAUAGUUUUUGGAUUAAAAAUGAGAGAGUUAUGAAUUUUUGAAAUUAAAUGAAAUAAAAGAAAUAAAAUGGAAAUUAUAAAAAUCAGGAAAAACCACGAGCGUUAGAUCUAAGCUCGUUAAUUGAGCCGGAACAUCCAGAGGUGGAGAGAUGCGCGCGCACGAUGGUCCCAAGUCAACUGAGUAACAUGUGGAAUUAAAAAAAGUCAUAAGAUCCAAGAGCCAUGAUUCAAUCUGGAAAUCAUCAUCAGCGGCUGGGAUUCAAACUGGCAAACGGACGGUGGUGUACACCACCGUCUUCUCCGGCGAACAUGGAGAUUCCGGCCAGAGUUGCAGGUCCUAAAAACUUGAUGAAAACGAGCGAUCCUCAUAUCAUUGGAAAGCUGGGGUGAUGUACAUCACCCCUGUACCAUAUAUUUUCACUCUAGAUCUCCAUGGUAAGAGAAAUCAGAAGUUGAAAAAUAUGGUGUUCAAGUGAAACUUCAUGGAUUUGUAAAAUUAAAAGCACCAACAAGUUGCCUCUAUUGAGAGGACUUCAGCCAAGAAAAAGGACACAAGAAACAAGCUAUAAAUGAAGAGUUUCGAAGCAAAUAAGUUUGAACAUCAACCUUCUAAAUAUAGAUCUGUGGAGCACGAUCCUUCAACACACUUGCUUGCAGCUUGUUUUGGAGAUGGAAAUGAGGCAAGGCUAAGGAAUUAGAGUCCAAUAAUCAACCAAGGAAGUUGAGAAUUGGAUCUGAAAAUUUCAAGUGAAAAAGAAAAAUUCCUUUAGAGUAUGGUUUGGAAUGAUUUUUGCAGAGUUUCAGGUUGAUUCAGGGAUGAGAAAUGAAGGAAGCAUGGCAUGUAUUUAUAGCUGAAGCUGAUGUAAAGUCAUGAAAAAUUUGUGUGCAUGAGAAUUGGGUCCUCCAUGCAUGGGCCUGUACAGGCGCAUGUGAGGCCCAAAACCUGGUGCAAAUGGAUGAUGAGCUUGUGUGGAGGAGGUUUGGACGUGUGAUUUGCAAGGCAAUGGCUUGUGCAUGAGGUUUCAUCAUGAAUUGCAUAAUUGUGCCUAAAACUUCAUCUCUUCCAAAAUGUCAAUCAGAAAAUCCAAACAUAAGCAUGUGGGUAAUGGUUGGAAAGGUAUUGACAUGAGGAACAAAUGUUAUGUUGGACAAAAAGUCAUUUGAAGUGUGGAAAUUUAUGAAAACAGGCCAUGAAGUUCAUAGUGCAAAACAUGCCUUUGAGAAUUUAGUCAAAAUGAACCAACUUCAAGCUCUUCUGUUUUAAUGAUGAAAACCUCAAAUGAAAAAACCUCCAACAUAAACGUUAUAGAUCGUUUCAAGAAAAUCAAGAUGGACUUAAAUUUUGCAUCAUUUGGAUUUUUGAUGAAGAAGUUAUGGGCACUUGGAGUUGGACUUUUUUGCCUUUCAAUGCAUUUGGUCCAAAGUGACCUAUAAUGUUUUGCAUUAUCACAUGUAUUUCUGUUGGGAUUUUGAAAUUUUGUUCAACAUAACAUUUUAAGUAGACACAAUAAUAUUUCCAAUGCAUUUGAUCCCACCUUAAAAUCAUAAAAAAUGAAUGAGUUAUGUUCUUGGGAAGUUGACCCAAAAUUAGGGUUUUAGUCAAAAUGACCUAUAAUGUCUUGGAAUGGGAGAUGAUCUUACAAGCUUCAAAUCUAAUUUUGAUGAACAUGAAAGUUGUUCAUAUUGUCCUUAAGAACAUGUUUUCUCUUGGGAUCAUCUCCAUUUGACCAACACAUAAAAAGUUAGGUCUCAGUGCAUUUCAAAAUAGUCAGAUGAAUUGACUGAUCAACUUUCCAAGUCCACAACUCAUAUAUUGAUGAAUUGAUGAUUGAGGACACUCAAAUAAGUUCAAAUAUGCAUGAAAUGAUGAGUUAAAGAACUUACCUUGAUUGUAUUUGACCAUGGGCUGAGGUUGCUUCAUGAUCAAGGCACAUUUGAUGAACAGAUGAAUUAGGGUUCCUUGGGACACAAGCCUCAAACCCUUUGACUUGCUUUGAUCAAAAUGAUGAAUUUAGAUACUAGGGAGGAAUGUUUGAUGGAUGAGAGCUUUGGGAACUAUUGCCAUGCUUGCCUUCAUCUUCUCUUGGCCAUAUCUUUGCACCCAUGAUCUCCUAGAAGCUUUGGACCUUGUGAUUGCUCAAGCUACAAACAAGAAAUGUUAGUGACAUAUUUUUGUGGCUUUUGCGUUAGUAAAACAAAGUGGCGAAAGAAAUAUAGACAGAUCAAGAUGCUUGGGUGAUCUCAAACCACUCACAAGAGGUCCCACCCAAAGGCAAAGGGAACCAAGAUGCUUAUGAUCCUUGAGGCUUUGCAAAUGCAAUGUUAUGAUGCCAUGAGGGAUCUUAAGGCCAAAAUUGGGGUCUUACAGAUGUCCCUAUUUAAGGUCAUUCUAGCCAGAGAAGUGAAGGUUAAAAUCUUCGUCUCGACGAGGUAGAAUGAGCUUAAAUAAUAACAAAGAGACGAAUUUUGGUCCCUAAGAGACCUCAUGAUGCAAAUGUAUGUAUGCAGAUGGUAACACUUUGUGGAUAUGUGUCCACAAAGAAAGAAAAGGAACAGGAACAACUGAAAAUCCACUGGAGUAACACAUUCGCAAAUGGGACAGAGACUCUAGGGACGUUACUGGGGAUUAAAGGGAUAAAAAUGCGUGAGCAGGUCACGACUUGAAACUUGUUGGGAGACACGAAGAGAGUCCAUGAAAUAAAUCCAUGGAAAGACUCGAGUUGACUCAAAGAUGCAUGUAUUGGGGAAUAUGCCAAUACAACAAAAACUUAUCCGUAACGGAUACUUCGGAUAAAAAUCCAGUCUCAGGCUGAGAGAAUCCACUAAGGGCCUCGCUGGGGAAACACUCAAACAAAACUCCUCUGGGGAAGCAACGGGAUGAGGUAUUACCGGUUACUGGGUAAUAAGCUCAAAGAGACAUGUGAUCCAAACACCGGUAUAAGGGUGAAAGAACAACAUGCUCAGGGAGAAUGAAUAUCUAAGACCGGUAUAAAGGUGAGAGAUAUCAAACAUCCGAAAUCAUCUGAGGAAGACCUAUAAAGGUAAACUUCAACUCAGGAAAACCUGACUCCGCAAGGGGACAAAAAGUCAUAAUAGGGAGCAGGGAGGAAGGAACACCAGGGAUACCUGUUACUGGACAUAUAAUAGGUGACCGACCAAAGCGUGAAUUGGGGAAUAUUCCCAAGACACUCAUCAUCCAAAAGAGGGCUAAAAGCAAACUCGAUUAUAGGAUGGACAUUCGAUUCCAAUAAAAGGGAUACGAAUCUUACUCGACUGGGGAAGAACAAAAGGCUUCGACCAAAGAGUGCAUGAGAUAUAUUAUCAAAGCAAACUCGAUUAUAGGAUGGACAUUCGAUUCCAAUAAAAGGGAUACGAAUCUUACUCGACUGGGGAAGAACAAAAGGCUUCGACCAAAGAGUGCAUGAGAUAUAUUAUCUAUUACCGUCAGAACUUAGAUAAUAUACUCGCAUGGAAGAUUAUCCACAACCGGUUACUGGGUUAAUAAAGGAUAAAUCGACCGAAGAGAGAGGACAUCGAGAUACCGAAUACUAGGUAUACAGUGAUAACCAAUCCAAGGGGAGCAAGAAUCAUUACCAACAAAUAGGUAAAUGAGAGAUAACUCAUUGGGAAUACAUUGACAAAGGCAACGAUCCGGGAGACAUAUCACCAGUUACUGGGAGAUAUGCUCAAAAGAAAGGGAUGCAGGAAUAUCAAUACCGAAUAUUGGAUAAAGAUAACCGUCAAGGAGGGGAUUACAUCUACCAGAUACUGGAUAGAAAACCACGGAAGAGUAACUGUCAUCGAUUCAGAUGAACAAAACGGUUAACUCUGCAAGGGGAUGAAAUAGGGUUUACAACUACCGGUAUGAGGGUAGAAAACCACAGACUCCGCAGGGGAAGAGAUGGAUAAUUACUGGUUAAUGAACAACUAUUCAUCUAGACCACGGGGAAGUGCAGGAAGCAGACAUAAGAGGCCAAUCUAGGAUCAAACUAGAUAGGCACGAUGGAAUAAGACUUGUCCCUAUGAGGAUAUAACUCAAUGGGGAAUUCCAUCCCAAUAUAUGUGUUGGGAGGAAACAGAAACAACCAUCUUCCACGAGGACAUAACUCUGUGGGGACUAUGGAGGAAAGGAUAAACACUUUCUGCUUAUGGGGCUGACCCUAUAUGGAGACAUCAAACACAAACAUCUGCUUGGGGAAGCAUAUUAACCACUAGCAAGAGAUAACAAACAAAGAUAUAUGGCAAAUAAUGCGACAUGAAUAUUAGAAUGUUUGAAAAUUAUAUGCACACAUGCGUGGUUUAUGUAUGAUAAAUGCUGACAAACAGACAUUUCUAACACAAACAGGUCCAACGAAUGAGGAAUAAAACAUCCGGUACUACAUCUCAAGAGAGAAAGCCAGGCCCAGUGGAAAAUAUCCAAUCUGAUGAGGGGCAAGAGAUACCAGGAAACAAAGAUCUUUGCAUGGGAAUGAGCAUUAGUCAUUCCAACUGGGGGCCAAAUCGUUGCACAGAUGAAUUCUGACAUAGAAGCAACUCUACCGGGGAAGUUAUCAAAGAGGAGGAUGGACCUCUGGGGGGAAACAACCAUAAACCAGAAGCUUCCAAAGAUCACCAAAUACUGCCAAUGAGAUCGCAUCUGCUGAGGAGGAGGGAUCACUACUCUGCUGAAGGAAGGAGGGAUGAAUAAUCUUACCAAAACACUCUGCUUGGGAGAAAAAACCACAAAAGGCUCCGGAGAAAGAGGACACAAGCAUGCCAGGAACAUGAACAAACGUCUUACCCUGUCGAGAAUCUUACCAUCCUUGGGAGAGCACUGAAGACAUCCCCAGUAUCCCUUUAUCAUUGUGAAUGUUCACUUUGUUUAAAAACAAAUUAUGAAAGGUUUGAUUAUUCAACACAAUGAUAUUUUUCAAUUAAAACAUGCAAAACAUUUGUUGAAUAAAAACAAAUAAGAGUGCAAACAAUUGGAUAAAGGCUCAAAUUUAUUUCAUGGAAUGGUAGUCUGCAAAUGGCAAGACUCCAUAGAUCUUUACAAAUUUGAAAUUGGUGAUAUAUAUUGGAAAAGGGCUACAUUGAACAUAAUGACCAUUUCUCCACCAAUUCUGAAUCCGAUGUAUUUGAAGCUUUGGUUGAUGAUGAAUGAGCGAGAAUCUCUGAUGAAUGAUAGUUGUAGAACAAAGUCUUGUUAGGAUGCAGUUACUUGCCAAAUCCCUAUUUUUUUUGCCUAGAUUGCCCCAGGGUGGGGUACCCAAUCUAGCGGGAUACAUAUUCACUUUUUUUUAUGUCUCUCAUUUUUGCCUGGAUCGCCCUUUCGAGUUUUCAAUCCACUGAGACGUUCAUUUUUGCCUAAGUCGCCCUUUCGGGUUUUCAACUUAGCGAGUUAUUCUGUUUUUAUUUUAGGCGAAGUAUUUCAUGACUGCAUCUGAAUUCACAGGACGAGUGAAAUCCUCCCCAUCCAUAGUUGUAAGUAUCAAUGCACCGCCUGAAAAGGCUCUUUUAAUAACAUAUGGACCUUCAUAGUUUGGAGUCCACUUGCCCCUGGAAUCGGGCGCGAAAGAUAAGACUUUCUUGAGCACAAGGUCACCUUCUCGGAACACACGAGGCUUGACCUUCUUAUCAAAGGCUUUCACGAAAGAUAAGACUUUCUUGAGCACAAGGUCACCUUCUCGGAACACACGAGGCUUGACCUUCUUAUCAAAGGCUUUCUUCAUCCUUUGUUGAUAUAACUGACCAUGGCACAUGGCAGUCAAUCUCUUAUCUUCAAUCAAGUUCAGCUGGUCAUAACGACUUUGUACCCAUUCAGCAUCAGUCAGCUUAGCUUCCAUCAAGAAUCUCAUUGAUGGGAUCUCCACCUCUACUGGGAGCACAACCUCCAUGCCAUAAACGAGAGAAAAAGGGGUUGCCCCUGUUGAAGUACGAACGGAUGUACAAUAUCCAUGUAAAGCAAAUGGCAGCAUCUCAUGCCAAUCUUUACACGUGACAACCAUCUUCUGAAUAAUUUUCUUGAUAUUCUUAUUAGCGGCUUCAAUAGCCCCAUUCAUCUUGGGUCUGUAAGGAGAAGAAUUAUGAUCUGCGAUCUUGAACUCGCUACACAGCUCUUUCAUCAUCUUGUUGUUCAAGUUAGAUCCAUUAUCAGUAAUGAUCUUAUCUGGCACACCAUAUCGGCAUAUGAGUGAUUCUUGAUAAACUUCAUCACUACCUGCCUGGUCACGUUUGCAUAUGACGCUGCUUCAACCCAUUUGGUGAAGUAAUCAAUUGCUACGAGAAUGAAUCUGUGACCAUUAGACGCUUUUGGCUCUAUCAUGCCAAUCAUGUCGAUUCCCCACAUGGAGAAGGGCCAUGGUGAUGAAAUCACAUUCAGAAGUGUCGGGGGGGAAUAUGAAUCUUAAUCGCGAAUCUUGACACUUAUGGCAUUUCUUCACAUAUUUGCAACAGUCAGACUCCAUUGUCAGCCAAUAGUAGCCUGCUCUCAACAUCUUUCUAGCCAUGGCAUGUCCAUUGGAAUGUGUACCAAAUAAACCCUCAUGAACCUCAGUCAUUAACAGGUCUGCUUCGUGUCUAUCCACGCAUCUGAGCAGCACCAUGUCAAAAUUUCUCUUAUAAAGCACAUCACCAUUGAGGUAGAAACUGCCUGAUAAUCUCCUCAGAGUCUUCCUAUCUUUCACAGAUGCCCCAGGCGGGUAAAUUUGGUUAUGAAGGAAACACUUGAUGUCAUAAUACCAUGGCUUAUCAUCUUGUACCUCCUCUACUACAAAUACAUGAGCUGGUCUGUCCAAGCGCAUCACAGUGAUAUUGGGAACUUUAUUCCAAAGUCUUACCACAAUCAUCGAAGCAAGUGUAGCAAGAGCACCUGCCAUCUGAUUCUCAUCUCGAGGAAUAUGAUAGAAGUCAACCUCAGUAAAGAACGUUGAAAUCCUCCUCGCAUAAUCCCUAUAUGGAAUGAGGCCAGGCUGAUUCGUUUUCUAUUCACCCUUAAUCUGAUUAACAACGAGGGCCGAAUCACCAUAAACAACAAGAUGCUUGAUCCUAAGAUCAAUGCACUCCUCCAAUCCCAUAAUACAGGCUUCAUACUCAGCCAUAUUAUUCGUGCAUUUGAAAGUUAGCCUUGCUGUAAAAGGAAAAUGUGUGCCCUGAGGAGUAAUAAUCACUGCCCCAAUACCAUUUCCGUAUUGAUUUACAACACCAUCAAAUACCAUACUCCAUCUGGAACCAGGCUCUGGUCCUUUAUCAAGCGUAGGUUCAUCACAAUAUUUCAUUUUCAAAUACAGAAUCUCCUCAUCCGGGAAGUCAUACUGAACUGAUUGAUGGUCCAUAAUUGGCUGAUGUGCUAAGUGGUCAGCCAAAAUACUACCCUUAAUAGCCUUCUGAGCACGAUACUCAAUAUCAUACUCAGAUAACAACAUCUGCCAACGGGCAAUUCUCCCAGUUAGAGCAGGCUUCUCGAAGAUAUACUUGAUUGGAUCCAUUUUGGAUAUCAACCAAGUCGUAUGAUUCAACAUAUACUGGCGUAAGCGCUUAGCAGCCCAAGCCAAAGCACAACAUGUUUUCUCAAACUUGAUUGGAUCCAUUUUGGAUAUCAACCAAGUCGUAUGAUUCAACAUAUACUGGCGUAAGCGCUUAGCAGCCCAAGCCAAAGCACAACAUGUUUUCUCAAGCAUUGAGUAUCGAGACUCACAAUCCGUAAACUUCUUACUCAAAUAGUAGAUGGCAUACUCUUUCUUUCUUGAUUCGUCCUGCUGACCAAGGACAGAACCCAUUGAGUCUUCAAGAACAGUCAGAUACAUAAUAAAUGGUCUUCCUUCCUUAGGCGGAGACAGGAUCGGAGGCUCAGACAAAUACUCUUUAAUACUAUCAAAAGCUUUCUGGCAAUCCUCAGUCCAAUCAUGGGACUGAUCUUUCCGGAGGAGCUUGAAUAUCGGCACACAUGUGGCAGUCAUGUGGGAUAUGAAUCUGGAAAUGUAAUUCAAGCGGUCAAGAAAACCUCGGACUUGCUUCUCAGUUUUGGGCGUAGGCAUCUCUUGUAUCGCUUUGACCUUUGCAGGAUCAACCUUAAUACCUCUUUCACUAACGAUAAAGCCCAAUAGCUUGCCAGAACGGACUCCAAAUGUACACUUGUUGGGAUUCAGACGAAGCAUGUACUUCCGCAAACGCCGAAACAGCUUCAACAAGUGCUCUACAUGUUCAACUUCCGUUCUUGACUUCGCAAUCAUAUCAUCAACAUACACCUCGAUCUCCUUAUGCAUCAUAUCAUGAAAUAAGGUAGUCAUAGCUCGUUGAUACGUGGCUCCAGCGUUCUUCAAACCGAAGGGCAUCACUCGAUAACAGAAUGUUCCCCAAGGUGUGAUGAAUGUUGUCUUCUCCAUAUCCUCGGGUGCCAUUUACCAGCGUUCUUCAAACCGAAGGGCAUCACUCGAUAACAGAAUGUUCCCCAAGGUGUGAUGAAUGUUGUCUUCUCCAUAUCCUCGGGUGCCAUUUUAAUCUGAUUAUAUCCGGAAAAUCCAUCCAUAAGUGAGAAGACCUUGAAUUUAGCUAUAUUAUCUACCAACAUAUCAAUAUGUGGUAGAGGGAAAUCAUCUUUCGGACUAGCUUUAUUCAAGUCUCUAUAGUCCACACACAUCCAGACUUUUCCAUCUUUCUUAGGUACGAGCACAAUAUUGGCCACCCAUUGAGGAUAUGUAGAAGUCACCAGAAACCCCGCGUCAAUUUGCUUCUGAACUUCCUCCUUGAUUUUUACUGCCAUAUCGGGAUGUGUUCUUCUGAGCUUUUGCUUCACAGGCACACACUCAGGCUUCAAAGGCAGGAAAUGUUGCACGAUAUCUGUAUCCAGACCAGGCAUGUCUUCAUAUGACCAGGCAAAGACGUCAACAUAUUCUCGUAGCAAUUCAAUCAACCCCUUCUUAACAGACUCUUCCAGGAGUGCCCCAAUCUUUACUUCUCGCGCACAAUCUUCAGACCCCAAGUUGACUGUUUCCAGAUUCUCAAGAUGCGGCUGAAUGAUCUUCUCUUCAUGCUCAAGUAGACGGGUAAUCUCGUCAGGAAUCUCUUCAACAUCAUCUUAUGCGUAUCGUACUUUUACCUUAAUCUUCUUUACGUUUCAAUACUGUUUUGCAAAUUCUGUUAGUGUGUGGUGAUUGAUUAUAUUUCUGGACAGCAGUGAUAACAAAACCUUGAGUCAUACACCAUUGCUGUUUAUCAUCAAACACUCACACACCAACUGUUUGACAAAACGGUUAACUUGAUUGUGUUCAUUGGAAAUAGUAUUUGAGGAUAAGCGCAUUCAAUCUGUUAAAGUUCUGUGUGUAUUAUUUUUGUCAUUCUCACUAAAAUCCAGCAACUGCACUUGCGUGUCCGGCUUUCUAGUAGUAGUUCAGAAUAGACAGAAGUCGAUUCGGGACUGCUUUUUCCGCUGUUUUUGAAAACUCUGAUUAAACGUUAAAUCCGUUAUUUUUUUAAGAGGUGAUCUAUUCACCCCCCCUCUCGAUCACUAGCCACACCGUCUAACAGAAAUCCUCCUCGCAUAAUCCCUAUAUGGAAUGAGGCCUGGCUGAUUCGUUUCCCAUUCACCCUUAAUCUGAUUAACAACGAGGGCCGAAUCACCAUAAACAUCAAGAUGCUUGAUCCUAAGAUCAAUGCAUUCCUCCAAUCCCAUAAUACAAGCUUCAUACUCAACCAUAUUAUUUGUGCAUUUGAAAGUUAGCCUUGCUGUAAAAGGAAAAUGUGUGCCCUGAGGAGUAAUAAUCACUGCCCCAAUACCAUUUCCAUAUUGAUUUACAGCGCCGUCAAAUACCAUGCUCCAUCUGGAACCAGGCUCUGGCCCUUCAUCGAGCGUAGGCUCAUCACGAUCUUUCAUUUUCAAAUACAGAAUCUCUUCAUCUGGGAAAUCAUACUGAACUGACUGAUAAUCCUCAAUCGGCUGAUGUGCCAAGUGGUCAGCCAAGAUACUACCUUUAAUAGCCUUCUAAGCUUGAUACUCAAUAUCAUACUCAGAUAACAACAUCUGUCAACGGGCAAUUCUCCCUGUUAAAGCAGGCUUCUCGAAGAUAUACUUGAUUGGAUCCAUUCUGGAUAUCAACCAAGUCGUAUGAUUCAACAUAUACUAGCGUAAGCGCUUAGCAGCCCAAGCCAAAGCACAUCAUGUUUUCUCAAGCAUUGAGUAUCGAGACUCACAAUCAGUAAACUUCUUACUCAAAUAGUAAAUGGCAUACUCUUUCUUCCCUGAUUCAUCUUGCUGACCAAGGACACAACCCAUGGAAUCAUCAAGCACCGUCAGAUACAUAAUCAAUGGUCUUCCUUCUACAGGCGGAGACAGGAGUGGAGGCUCAGACAAAUACUCUUUAAUUCUGUCAAAAGCUUUCUGGCAAUCCUCGGUCCAAUCAUGGGACUGAUCUUUCCGGAGGAGCUUGAAUAUCGGCGCACAUGUGGCAGUCAUGUGGGAUAUGAAUCUGGAAAUGUAAUUCAAGCGGCCAAGAAAACCUCGGACUUGCUUCUCAGUUUUGGGCGCAAGCAUCUCUUGUAUUGCUUUGACCUUUGCAGGAUCAACCUCAAUACCUCUUUCACUAACGAUAAAGCCCAAUAGCUUGCCGGAACGGACUCCAAAUGUACACUUGUUGGGAUUCAGACGAAGCUUGUACUUCCUCAAACGCUGAAAAAGUUUCAACAGGUGUUCUACAUGUUCAACUUCCGUUCUUGACUUAGCAAUCAUAUCAUCAACAUAUACCUCGAUCUCCUUAUGCAUCAUAUCAUGAAACAAAGUAGUCAUAGCUCGUUGAUACGUGGCGCCGGCGUUCUUCAAACCGAAAGGCAUCACUCGAUAACAGAAUGUUCCCCAAGGUGUGAUGAAUGUUGUCUUCUCCAUAUCCUCGGGUGCCAUUUUAAUCUGAUUAUAUCCGGAAAAUCCAUCCAUAAAUGAGAAGAUCUUGAAUUUAGUUGUAUUAUCUACCAACAUAUCAAUAUGUGGUAGAGGAAAAUCAUCUUUCGGACUAGCUUUAUUCAAGUCUCUAUAGUCCACACACAUCCGGACUUUUCCAUCUUUCUUAGGCACGGGCACAAUAUUGGCCACCCAUUGAGGAUAUGUAGAAGUCACCAGAAACCCCACAUCAAUUUGCUUCUGAACUUCCUCUUUGAUCUUCACUGUCAUAUCAGGAUGAGUUCUUCUGAGCUUCUGCUUCACAGGCACGCACUCAGGUUUCAAAGGUAGGAAAUGUUGCACAAUAUCAGUAUCUAGACCAGGCAUGUCUUCAUAUGACCAAGCGAAGAUGUCAAUAUAUUCUCGUAGCAACUCAAUCAACCCCUUCUUAACAGACUCUUCCAGGAGUGCCCCAAUCUUUACUUCUCGUACACAAUCUUCAGACCCCAAAUUGACUGUUUCUAGAUUCUCAAGAUGCGGCUGAAUGAUCUUCUCUUCAUGCUCAAGUAGACGGGUAAUCUCGUCAGGAACAUCUUCAACAUCAUCUUCUUCCGCCUCAAAUACAGGGAAUUCAAAGUUGGGAGAUGGUGUUGGAUCAUUAUGUUCAAUGGGUUUGAUCAACCUGUAUAAUGAUUUUGGAUAUAAAGAGCUUUUAGAAUUCAAGCAAGGCAAAUCAUUAUGCAGAUGAAAAGAUUGAUUUUAUUUUAUCUUUAAAGGGUUUUAUGUGAUCACCAAUUUCAUGCAAAAAGCGAAAAGGGAAAAUGAUUGGAAAAACAAACAUUUAACAUGAAUUUAUUGAAUGAAAGUAUCAUUGUAUUUAUGCGCCAACAAUGUCAUCACUUCUCCUUUUGGCAUGGGAGAAGGGUUUUCAAACACAAUGAACAUUACUUUGACUUAUGGAUAAUUGUUGGAAUAUCCACAGCGACCCAAUUAUUGCAGAUCCCUCCAGGGAUAAUGAAAUUGCCAGAAUCCUCUUCAUCUUCUUCCAAAAUGGCAGCAUCCUCUUCAUCUUGACCAGUGUGGAUGAAACCCCCACUCUUGAACAAACCUUGUUUUUUGAAGACCCCAUAAGAAUAGCCUAUGCCAGCCCGGGACUUGUUGUCUUCUAACUCAAUCAUUUGUCCUAAAUCGGCAGUUGCACCAUGCUCAAUGGCCAACUUUGCAUCUUUGUAGGAAGCAAAUGAAGAAGUUCUCUUCUCAACAGGUUCAGCAAUAGAUAAAGCUUGGAACGGAGUUCCAACUUCAUCCUCAGCAUCUAUAUAUGAUAAGGAAGACAAAUGGCUAACCAGGAGAGCCUUUUCUCCCCCUACCACCACCAGCUUCUUAUUCUUUACAAAUUUCAGUUUCUGGUGUAGGAUGGAUGUCACGGCGCCUGCCUCGUGAAUCCAUGGUCUGCCUAAGAGACAACUAUACGAUGGGUGAAUGUCCAUAACCUGGAAGGUAAUUUGGAAAUCACUUGGUCUGAUUUUGACUGGGAGAUCAACCUCACCAAUCACAGUUUUGCGAGACCCAUCGAAAGCCUUCACAACUACCCCACUCUACCUCAUGGGAGGCCCUUGAUAUGACAACUUCGCGAGAGUGGUCUUCGGUAAUACAUUCAACGAUGACCCAGUGUCUACCAACACAUUGGACAUGGCGUCAUCUUUGCAGCUCAUAGAUAUAUGUAAUGCCAAGUUAUGGUCUCUUCCCUCCUCGGGGAGAUCAGCGUCACAAAAACUCAGGUUGUUACAUUUGCAGCUCAUAGAUAUAUGUAAUGCCAAGUUAUGGUCUCUUCCCUCCUCGGGGAGAUCAGCGUCACAAAAACUCAGGUUGUUACAAGCGGUGAUGUUUGCAACAAUGCUAUCAAAUUGUUCUAGCAUGACAUUGUGAUCUACGUACGCCACAUCCAACACCUUUUGCAGAGCUUCUCGGUGUGGUUCUGAAUUCAAUAGUAGUGAUAACACAGAUAUUUUGGAUGGCGUUUGUAGAAGCUGGUCUACAACAUUGUACUCGCUUCUCUUGAUGAGCCUCAGCAUCUGAUCACAAUCUUCUUACGUAUUUCCACUCGGGCCAGCAGAAGCAGGAGUUUUCAAUAUGGAGGAGGGCUUAGCAACAAGUUCCGGAUUUGGAGUGCUCACAGCAUUCCCAAUCGGGCGUUCGACAAAAUCAGCAUCAACACUUCCUCGAGCAUAAACUUGAGGCUUUAACGGAGCUGAAAAUACACGACCGCCGCGGGUCAAACCGCUGACGUCAACAAUGUUUAUGACAGAUGAAGAAGGCAGGGACACUUCUUUCCCAUUUUCCACUGCUACAGCAUUAUAGCGAUAAGGAACCGCCUUCUCGGAGGAGUAUGGAACGGGUCCGGCUGGCUUAAUAGUUAGAGAGGGAGAAACCUUUUGCUUGCUACCAUCAUACUUGAUGACAACAGGCUCAGGUAUCCGGAAUACUGGAGAAAUUACGUUGACUUCGAGAUCAUCUUCGUCAACAUUUCUAUUUUGAAGGAUCUCAAUGACUCCUUCGUCCAACAUCUCUUGAACAUCCUUACGCACCUGGCGACAACCUCUCUGAUUGACAGAACAGACUCUGCAUCUAUCAUGGUCAUGCUCAUAAUGGCUAUAGUCACACAGCAAGCGAUGCAUCUCAACCAGCGAUUGCCGGAUAUGACUGACGUAUUUAACUUUGUACUUGCCAGGACAGCCCUGGACCAUAUUAACAGACUUCCCAUGCUCGGGCAAUGGGUUCUUCUUCACGUUCGGACCUACGUCCUCGAAAAACAGAAUCCCACUUCUCACAAGGUCUUGCACCUUGGUCUUCAGGGGAUAACUGUUCUCUACGUCAUGUCCGGGAGCACUGGAAUGAUAUACGCAAUGAAGCUCAGGCUUGUACCACCACUGGGGGUUAGCAGGUACAGCGGGAGGGUCUCGCGGAGUGAUUAACUUUCUAUCGAUCAGAGAUGGAUAGAGUUCAGCAUAAGUCAUCGGAAUUGGAUCAAAGGUGACCCUCUUCCUCUCAUAGCUGGUGCUGGCAUUGUUGUUGUUAUUUCGAGGCUGGUAGGCCUGCUGUUGUGGACGCUGUUGUUGUUGCUGAUAUUGCUGAGUUUGCGGUUGUUGAUAAUGUUGAGCUUCCCUGAAAACAGGUGCUAUAUGAGCCACCUGAUGCUGAUUAUUAACUGGGCGAGCAAUCUUCCUCUUCACAGAGGGUCUUCUCUUGACAUGGGAAGACACAGCAUGUGCCUCUCCCUCCUUCUUCUUUGCAAAGCUUCCAUAUCUCUUUGCUGAAGAGCCUUCCUCUCGAGUUAAGCAUCCUUCACGGACCCCUUCUUCCAAUCUCAUCCACCAUCUCGGUGAAGUCUGAGGGAGCAUUGGCUAUCAUUCUCUCGUAAUAGAACGAUCUCAAGGUCUUCAAGAAGAUCUUGGUCAUCUCUUUCUCCUCUAGGGGUGGCACUAUCUGAGCUGCCAAUUCGCGCCACCUCUGGGCGUAUUCUUUGAAAGUCUCUUUCUCUUUCUGGGACAUCGCCCUCAACUGGUCCCUAUCAGGAGCCAUAUCCAUAUUAUAUUUAUAUUGCUUGACGAAGGCCUCGCCAAGAUCGUUGAAAGAGCGGAUGUUCGAACUUUCCAGACCCAUGUACCACCGUAGAGCGGCACCGGACAGACUGUCUUGGAAAUAAAUGAAGAACACAGAGUUAGACCAUAGGACAAGAAGCCUGGAGCAAAACCUGCUUAUGCACAUGAUGCAUGCAAUGCUUGUGCAUAUGAUUUUUUUUUAUUUCAGAGGAACUUUAGAGUCCUAUUUGCAAAUUUGGGAAAUAUUACAUUUUUGUGUGGAAACAUUUCAUCAAUAAUAUCUGGAAUAUGUGUUUUUUACACCAAAGGAGUACAACAUCGGUAACCAAAUACAAGAGAAAAAGGAAAAUAAUCAUCCUAUGGAUCCCUAGAAACAAUCAUCUAAAGCUCGGGACACAGGAAGAUAAGAUGCACGAAGCCUCUUCACCUCCUCCUCAUAGGUUGCCUCCAUAUCUGCCUUCUCCUUGGCGAGUCGAUCGUACUUCCUCUUCCAGAACCUAGAAGACUGAGGAAGUUAUUUAUAUUAUAUAAAUGUAACCUUAGCGGAAGAUGCAAAGCGGAACUCCAUGCUAUUAUUGACAGUUUGCAGAGCGAGGUUUCGGUUGCUUUGCUGUUCUAGACAAGAGGUUCCUGAGAAACCUAAGAAAACGCUGGUGGUCCUUGCAGUUGUUGGUUUGUGUCACUUUUGACCCACCUAGGCAUACAUGAGUGAAACUAGCGGAGAGCUCUUAUUCUUGGUGUCAAGUUAAGAUGAUUACUGGUGACAACUUUCCAUGCAAAGGGCUGGGAGACUUGGGAUGAACUUACGGUACUCAUCUGCUACCUUGCUUGGAAAGAAAUGGAUAUGCACUUCCAGUUGAGAGUGAUGAGAGACAGAUGAUUGCUGGGUAUUUCAGAGCACAAUAUGAAGGCCGAUAUUGGAUCGUUGUGCCGAUGCUACGGAUGCCGCAAAGUUGUUUCUGUAUUGUCCUACGACUGAUUAAUGUUAUCUAGUGCAGUUUUAACCAGUAGGCUUUUUCAAAUGAUUGAAAACUACACAUCGUUGCGCUUUAUCUCCUGUAAAAUAUCUGAUAUUUCCUUGAGUGGAUUUCGUUUAAAUAUGGCUGCAGAUACGAGUGAUUUGGAAUUUGCAACCUUGCUAGGUGAACAGCUCGGAUAUAUUUAAAAUUCAAACUGCAUUGUUGCCCUUCGCUGCUAGGUUUUUUUAGAGUCAUGGUGAUUGUAGAUGCGGAGUCAUUUAUACAAAGGAGAUAAGGGGCCAUCUAGCUGUCACAAUGAAAAGUUAGCUAUGUGUUUGCUCUUUAAUGCACAAGAUCUCAAUUAGAUUACCAAAACCUUCGUGUUUGUGGAGAUUGUCACAUGCUGCAAAGUUAAUCUCCCAAAAUAGUUGAACGUGAAAUUGUGUUAAGACACUAUAGAUUCCACAUUUAGGAUGGUGUUGCUCUUGUUGAGAUGCUUCGGUAUUUAUGGUUGCAGUUCCAGAAUUUUGUGCUUUGAAUUGCUUUCCUUCACCAUCCACGUAGUCUCACUACAAUUAAUGGCAGCUUUGUCCAAGGAAGGUCCAUAUCAAAUUGCGAAAAACUUGAUGCUGUAGACUUAAAACUGACACAUAAAAAUUCUUUAGACAGUUCGAUUGGAGAUCCCAGGGUUCAAAGGAAGUUGACCGGUCUUAAUGAUCCCAGAACCUUAUUUUCCUGUUGAAUGAUGGUGCCAAAAGAUGUUCCGAUCAGUGAGUUGUUUGAACUUUCUUUGAGAUAUGUUGGAUAUGUUAAAGGAGUUUCUGAGAAGAACUUUGAAUGAAGACAAAGCUAGUAGCAUGAAUGCAAGUCUGGCAUUCUCACUUGAGCUGGCUAGUCUAGUACAAGGUCAGUCCAAUGGAAAACACAAGAGAAGAUUGAUCCAAGACAAGCUGGCGAAAUUGAUUGAUCUUAAGAUCGCCGCUAAUAGUUUGCGCCGCAUCAGUAUCAGCAGUAGUGGAUGUCAUGCGGUAUCUGCUACUGCUAUGGCUAUGAUGCAGCAGCAGACGAUGAUGGUAUCCACACAUUACAUGUUGUGUGCUCAUCCCAUCAUUAUCAGGCGCCGCUCAUUAACAUUAACCGUCGGCGUUGUAGCACAAAAGCACUCCAAGCCAUCGGUUUAAUUGUGCAAGUUUUGAGCUGCUAAGGCUGCUAAGGUUUGCGAAAGUGCUUGCUGCAUUGAAUGGAAUGACCGGUUAUUCUUGUCUCAACUGUGGAUGUGCUGAGCACACUACGUGAGCUCGAAAAGACCAACCUCAAUCCACGUCGGCUGGUUGCAAUACAAAUACCCAAAUAGUAAUUCUAAAAAACUUUCAGCUAAUAAGUUACAGUGUGAAAGUUUUUCUCACCAACAUAGUUAUUAUGAAGAGAAUGAGAAGGGGCCCAAGUUGGAUAUGGACAAAAUUCAAACCUCCACUGCACGCAGACCUCCCUACUCUGGGAACACCCAGACACAGCGAGAGGAGAUGAGUCAUAUAAGAGAGGCCACGGUUCUUUUGGGGAGAGAGCUGAAAAACCCUAAUUUGAGAGGAUUGGCGGCUACCAUUCAAAAAGAAGAGAGAGAUUGAAGGCACGUUUACCUACAUUGUCGGUCGAGCUCGCCGCAACCGUAGCUUCCUUUUCGAACUUUAUUCUAUGUUUUGAUUCUGCUUUGCAUCUUUCUGAGGUAACCAUGGUUGUUGUUCCAAUUUGAUUUCAUUUAGCAAUAUGUUGCCUGUUUGUGAUAAUAUCUUGCGCGUAACCUUUUGAUGUUCAAAUGGAAAAAUCUCUGUUCGUUAAGAUGAGCUGCUUGACAUCUGUACUGUUUUAACUUGUUGUUUUAUUUAAAGGCUUGGUCGGUUUGUUAUUAUUAUUGUGUUUGAAACUAUAUAACAAGGAUGUUACUGGUUGAGUGUAAAGAGGUGCUUUGGUAAACCUAGGUUCCGAGUUCAAUCCCUGGUUUCAGCAUUUCUCAUUUUAACUACUUUCUAUUUUUACUAGUUUUUAUUAUUUUACCAUUUUUAUUAUUAUUUUAAACAUUUAUUUUAUUUUAUUUUAUUUUUUUUCUCUUUUUAACACUCGUUAUUUUAAUGUUAACAUCGAUUUUUAAUUUAUGGAUUGACAUUCUCUUGUUAUUUAUCCACAAUUAUUUUUAUCGAUACAUUGAUGUAUUUCGCCGCGUUUCGAUUAAUCGCAUAUGCAUUUCAAUUAUUGUCAACAUGCGCAAACCGACUUGUGGCAUUAUUUAGGUUUUGUGUGUCCCUCAAUUUUUAUCCGUGCAAUCCCGAUUUUACCUUUUUCGAUUUAAUUUUUAAGUGUUUUCUAAUAUGUUGUUGUAUUUUUCUUCAUGCUUACUCUUGCCUUUACAUGAGGUUCUUGACUACACUUCACUUGUAACUUUUGUGCUUGCCGAUUAUUAUUCCAAUACUUUGAAUCCCCAUUUGACAAAAUGUAACACCCCCGAUGUUGUAAUAUUUACUGUUGAUUUCUUAUUGCUUGGUUGUUUAGUUAGCUACUACACAGAAUAAAAAUCAACAUUCCAAAGAUCAAAAAUAAGACUCGAUCCAAGUCGGUAUUUUUCCAAUAAACAAUAUCCAUUUCUUUAUCUCUUUCAUUUCUCUCAAACUUUUAAGCUUGAUCCAACGUCAAGCACAUUUCAUAAUAAACUCAAUAUUAAUUCAUAUUUAAGACCUUUUCAAUAAAGAUGGUGGAACUGUGUAUACGCGAUCUGGAUUCGGAUGUAUGUCUCGCUCUGCCAUCAUUCCUAUCCACUUUGUUUUCUCUCAAACUCAUUCAAUUUCUCUAUACGCAUCAACACUUAUCUAGCGUCAAGUCAUUUCACAAUAAAACUCAAGAAUACUUCUUUACACUUUUUCAUAAGGUGAAAUGGAACAUGGUGUAUACGUGCUCCUGAGUUAAGAUUCGGAGUAGUCUCUGCCUUCUUCUCGCCAUCAUUUAAGUCAUUGCCGGUUUUUCAAUUUUCAAUUUCAAACACUAUUUUAUUAAACCUUUUUUUCAAAUAAGUGGAAUGGGGACGUGGUGAUUUCCCGCGACUCCUGAGACUGGAUUCGAUGUAUAUCUCGCUCAUCCAACUCGCCUACUCAAACACAUCAACACAUCAAUUCUUUCUCGCCGCCGUGUGAUUAACCCUUCAAACAUUUCUCAAAUGAGGUACUUUGUUCAAAACAAUGCAGGCAAUGUUUCCACCUGUUUUGGGAGCCAACAAUGUUUUCGCAUUUGACACAAAGUAGCUUUCGCUAAAUCGCCAACAAAUUUCUACCAGGAAUGUAUGCCUUACUUUCUCUAUGCUGAUAGUAGGGCGGAUUGUAUCUUGGUCGAUAAAUAAAAUUAGGUUAGUCUCGUAAAAUCCAAAAUUCUCUUCUCUUUUUUCUUUCUCUUAAUUUUAUCAAGCCUAACAUUUCAUUAACCUAACCACACUAUACUGGUUCCCUUUGGUAUACGACCGGUGGUCAGUAAUCUUCCCCUUGUAAUCGACUCGAACCCUGUUGGUUGCGCGAUCGCCUUCAUUGUUCUUUUCUUUUGUUUUAUCGUAUAUUUCCCCUUGCCAGGAAUAAAAAAGGUCGUGGCGACUCUGUUCAGUCCAUAAUGUGAGCGUGCUGCGAUUGCAUCGUUACGACUGUAUCCGUACAUCACUAGUAGAUUAGAGAUGGUGGUGAGAGCGGGUGCUGUAAAUAUUUGAACGAUCUUGAGGGCAGUUAAUUGGCAUGGUGAUGCAAUUGCCAUGUGUUAGUUUUAGUUGCGGUGUAAUUUGUUUUAAACUGAAGCAGUUUGUUUUUCCUGCAACCAAUACUACAUUAAUAUGGUUUAAUGUGUUUUUAUUGUGAACAUCUUAGACGUGGGAAAUUAGAAUUUGGAAGUCUAAAAGUUUAGUUAGAAUGAAAAACUAAUAUAGUUUCCGUUUUCAAGUUCAUGGAACACUAGAUAAUAUACUUAAUUUUUUAGAGUAUUGUUUACAUUAAACUCUACAAGUUUUUUACAGGUUAUCAUAAGAGGGUAUCUUAUCUAUAUUGGUAUAUCACCACAUUGAAAUGUUUUAAGUAGCUUCGUAGAUGAGGCCCGAUCAAGCAUCAGUUUAAAGAUAUAUGUUAUUAUACUUAUUAUUAUUCUUCCUACGAUAAACUAGAGAGAAUCCAUUCAUUGUUUAACAUUUCAUAAAAUUUUACUCUUAAUAUAUAUAAUAUAUAUAUAUAUAUAUAUUUAUUAUAUUAUAUUAUAUAUUAUAUAUUAUAUUAUAUAAUAAAAAUAUAGUUAUAAUCGACAAUGUAAAAUUAGCUUUACAUUUUCAAUUUAUGACAUUCAAACAUCUUAAUCUCGUUUGCCUUUGUGUUAUCUUUCGUGUGGAUGUGGAAAAAAACACGUGAUACGGGAGCCACUCAAAUGGGUCUACCCAAAUCUCACAACAGAAGGCGGAUAUCGGAUACAAACCUACAAAUUCAAAGCACCCUCGUUACGAAUAUCGAUGCCAACGGUACUUCUUGGCCUCGCACCAACGUGACAGGCCUAUUUAUUAUGAGAUCUCUGCUUACACGAUGAUGAGAAAAUGUGGAUGUACUUCUUCCAGAAUUGUCUUAUCUUUGACGGGCUUCUUGACUUGGUACAUGACUAGAGAGACUCUAUCCGAUGUUGGAAAUUUAUCUGGCGUCGGGGGCCUUCUUGCAGGCCAGUAUAAAAACAACAUGGACAUGGCGCUGAGCCGGACUCAGUUGAGAUCUUUGUUCAGGAAAUUCUGGGGAAGAGCUUCAGGAGUAGCCAGAGUGGCGGUUGAAUUGGCUGCAAGAGUACAACCCCUAUGUGGAAGGGAAGCUAAGUAAUAUGUUUAUCGCUACAAACUGCAGGGUUUGUUUUCCUCACCGGUAAAGGGAGUGCCAUUCGCAGUUUCUCUAACACGUAAUGUCGAUAUAGUAGGAUAGGGACAGAGAGUUGAUCAAAAGCUGGUAAAAUUCAGGAGAAACAUGCAGAGGUCCUCGUCUUCGAAGAAACCAUUGUUGGGGGCACCUCGUAGGAGAGAGGGUGAAACCAAAGUGCUGGUGCAACAUGUAGAAGGAUAAACAGAUCAGGUACGCGCAGGUUGUGCUGUGACAAUUCCAGCACCUCAACCUCUCAACCCGAAUCGAGGCGAACACGAGGCGUUCAAACAACAACCGCCACAACAACAACANAUAUAUAUAUAUAUAUAUAUAUAUAUAUAUAUAUAUAUAAUAAGAAAAUGAAUGGUAUAUCGACAAUGUAAAUUAGCUUUACAUUUUCAAUUAAUAAUGAUCAUUUAACCCGCCACCUAUCUCGUUUGCUCCUUGAUGUUACCACCUUUCUUAACCUCCCUGUCUGUCAUGUCAAUAGAUCGAAAGGAAUAAUUUUAUUUUUAUAAUCUUUGAUUUCUUUAACAUAUCAAUUGGUGUGGAAUUAGAUCUUAAUUCAUAUUGAUCAAUUCGCAAGACCUAACUACUUAGAAUGUGUUCCUCAACACUUUGGUCAAUCUAAAACUCAUAAAUAAAGUGUGAGUUUCUUCUUCCUCCUCCAUUUGACCGUUUCAACUCCUUCUUUUUUUUAAUAAUAUUAAUGUUAUGUUUGGUCGUUCAAGGAAUGAUAGUUGAAGAAUUGAGUUUUUGCAGUAAGAAACACCUUUUAGCAUUUUCUAUUUAUUGAAGUAACAAUUCUCUUUCAAUUUCAUUAUGCAUUAUUAUGCCUUUUAUAUUUACCCUAUUUUAUUAGUUUUUGGCAUAAACUCAAGCAAAUUAAUUUUCCUACGUGUGUAGAAAGUAUUGGUUGAAUGCUGAAGUUAACAAUAUUCAAUGUGUGUAGCAAGUAUGAGUUAUAUGUGCAAGUCACAUUCUUUAUAUUAUAGCUUGCAAAGUGUUAUUAGGUUACAUCACCAUUUGAGAAAUUAAGUGUAGUGUUUGUAGACUUUAGCAUCCUUUUGAGUAGUUGUUUGGUGUUAAUCCUGCAUGCGUCUCAAUACAUGGCAUGUGUGAGCUUUAUGUUUGAAUUAUGGACAAAAUCAUUUUGCAGGAAAGAGAAGAAAAGUUUAGAGGAAUAUGGCCAAUACUUCUAGGUGCCCAAUCCCUUAGAGUCUUAUUUCUGUAUUUUGUAUAUCAUUGUCCUGUAUUCCAUGAAGUUGAUUAGAAAAAAAGUGAAAUAUAUUGGCAUUCUACUUAUCUAUUGUUAGCUAAAACAAUUUCACUGUUAUCAAGAAGUGGAAUGGUUUAUAUAUGAUCCAUGUGAUAUUGGCUUUUGUAAUAUUCUAUUAACAAUAUUUAAUAUUAUUGUGCUAUUUAAAUUUUUGUUAAGUAUAAUGAAAUGCCUAAUGCAUUAAAAAAAAUUAUUAGGACGAAUUAUUUUUACUAGUAUUUUAAUUUUCUCUUGUUUAUUAUGGAUUUGCCUUCAUUGUUUGGCAGGUGAUUAUUUUCUUGAGGAUAUUUAUUUUUAUUUUUCAUUGUUCUUUGUCCCACACAUCAAUAUUUAUCACGUGAUUAAUAUUAUUGUUAGAUUUUUUCAACAAAAAGUCAUGUUUUGAUUGAACCUUUCAAUUUUACAACAAGUAGCAUCCACCGUGGGAAAAUACACUACUACAAAAUAUACCUUUCUUAACACCAUAUUACCAAGGCCGUUUAAGCAACCGUUGUAAUAACUUAUCUUAACGCACCUGAAUUUUUUUAUAUUUUAUUCAAAGACAUUUCUUCACGGUUCAUAAUAACAACUGUGGUUAUAGAUGAAAGGUUACGUGCUUUGAAUCCCAGCACAAACAAUUUUUUUAUCAUUACAAAAAGAGUUUGUCCAUAUCGUCUUAUAAAUAUAUUAAAAUUAAAAUAUCUAUCACCCUGGUUAGUACCAGAAACCAUUGUGGAUAGUACUGACAGUUUAUCAUGGUUUUUCUUGCCAACGACGGUGAUAAGUUUUACAUAUAUAUAUAAGCAAAGUUAUAAAAUUCAGUCCUCUCGCUCAAAUUACAAAAUCCUAAUCUCUCUCUCUCUCUCUCUUCCACAUCCUGCGAAAUAGUCUCUCUUCUUCUUCCAUACAACUUGUCUUUCUUCUUCUUCGUACUAAAAGGUAAUCAAAUUAAACGUUGUUUCUUCUUUAUCUAAGUAUUUAAACGUUGUUUCUUCUUCUUCUAAAAGGUAAACAUGUUAUUCACGACAGAGCUACAUACACAACUAUGUAGGCCUAUGACCCACUAGAAUUAAAAAUUUAAUUAUAAUAUACUACCCAUGUGGUAAUAGUAAUGAUGGUGUAUAUUGCAUUAAAUACUUAGUUCAUUUCAAAAUUUAGUCCAAAAUAGUCUCUAGUAUUUUUGAUAAAAAAAAUUUAAUAGUCUGGAUAUUAUUAUCUUAUCUUUUUAAUUCUAUAUUUUUAGAAUUAAAGAAAAAUUAAUAAUCUAUGAACUAUCAAUUGAUUGGCGAGGAUAAAAUAUGUUAUAUAAUUAUAAGUAGAAAAUUAAGAAACCAUUAAUAAUUUUAAAUCAUUAAAAAAAAUUAAAAAAACAAAAUAAUAUUUAUUUAUAAAUAAUAUAUUAUACUUUUCUCGUAAUAAAUUUAUAAAUUUGCCCACACUAUUUAGAAUUCCUGGCUCCAUCCCUAGUUAUUCACACGUUUUCUUCCAUUUAGGUUUCACAUGAUUUUUUCGUAUUUUUUUAUACUUGGAUCUCUGUUUUUGAAAUUCUCAAUUCGUGUUACUGUUUUUAUUAUAUUGUUGUCUUAAUGGUUUUAACAAGUCGGAUCAAUUGUCCCAACUCUGUGUCCAACAUCUGUCCUAUGAGAAACAAAAUUUCACAUUUGAUACUUUCUCUCUAAGAUAAUGGAACCUCAUCUCAUUGUGUUUUCUUCUUCCGUAUCAUAUUGAUUCUUGGACAAAUUUAUAGCAGAAAUGUUAUCAAUCUUCAUGAUUACUGCUUCAUGAUUUUGACCUACAAUCUCUUUGAUCAAAUUUAUCAUUCAUGUUGCUUGACAUGCACAAAGAAAGGAAACUAUGUAAUCAGUCUCACAUGAUGACAAAGCUACAACUGGUUCUUUUCAUGAGCUCUAAGCAACUGGUGCACCACAUAGCAUAAACAUAUUUUCUAUCAUCAGCAUCACCAUACCAACACGGGUCAGUGUAUCCCACUAGCUUGCAUUCCUUUUCUUUUUAACAAUUUUUUUGAAGAAGUCAUUCUUAACACCUAGAUUUUAUUUUUAUUUUUCUUUAUUUUGACCAAUUUCUCUAGUACCCCAAUCCCAAGUAUAAAUGUUGAUAACUUACAAGAGCAACCCCAAAUUUAUUCUUUUGAAUUCUAUUAAUUGAUUGAUGAUUGUAUAUCAUGAAUCAUGGAUAUGAGAUAUUAAGGCUUUACAUUAGUUUAAAUUUAAUGAGUGUUUUAUACUUAUAGUUAUUGACUUUCUUAAAAUAAUAUAAUAUCUAAGAGGAAUACCAAAAUACUCUUGAUUUAUUUAUUCAUAGUAGAAAAGUGGAGAUAUAAUUAUAGUUAUAAGAUAACAUUGUUUUAUUCAUUGCUCCCUGUGAGAUAUAUCUCUUGAUAGCAUACAUACAUAGUAUAACUCUUGAUUUAUUUAUUCAUAGUAGAAAAGUGGAGAUAUAAUUAUAGUUAUAAGAUAACAUUGUUUUAUUCAUUGCUCCCUGUGAGAUAUAUCUCUUGAUAGCAUACAUACAUAGUAUUUUGUCCACUCAUUAAGAAGCAUUUCAAACUGAAGAUAGACGGUCUCUUGUUUCACGACUUCCUAUCUCCCUUUGUUGAGGUUGAGCAUCUGCAAAGUGAGAUUGUUUCUGAUUCUCUAGUAUCCUAUCAACCUCUUGAGCUGAUCCAGGGAAUGCAAGCUCUUUCACUGGCCGCUGUAUCUGACUAAUCACAUUAUCCUUAUCGCCUUCAAAUUUUCAAUCACCAAAAUAAUAAGCAUAUCUUAAUAUUUUCCCCCUUGAUUUAAAUAGAAAUUGACUUUUAAAAUACACACUUAAAAUGAAUAAAUAGUGACAGAGACUGGGUGAUAAUAUAAUAUACCUGCAAGAAAGUUCCUUUGAUUGUUCUCAGCAUUAAUACCAAACCCAAACAAAUCAAGAUUUGAGGAAGCUUUUACGGAAACUGGAUGGCCUGCUGGAAUUACAAAAACAUCUCCUGAAGACAAUUUAGCUUUGUAAUUUUGCACUUGUUUAUUUAUCUCCUCUUCUCCUUGUUCCUCUUCCUCGUCAUCUUCUUUUGUCUGCUCUUGUUGGUUUUCAUUUCUUUGACCCACAAGUUCAAAAUCUCCUUUUCCUUCGUUAACUGUUACUAUUACUAUGGCCCUUGAAUUGUAGUGUGGCAACAAUAGAGAUCCCUAAUAUUUAAUUUGAAAGAAUAAUUAAAUAAAUACGUUAGAUAUAUGUUCUAUAAAUAAAACAUGUUAUUGAGCAUGUAAAACUUGUUGUGUAUGAGAUGUCAAGUUAGUAACAAAAGUUUGACAUUAUAACUUCAAAGGACAAAAAUCAAAUCAUUUAGAACAAUUGUAAUUUGAUCAAGUGGAAUCUCAUUGUGUAAUUUGGUGAAUUUCCUAUAUUAUAAAAUAAUUUUAUCAUACCUCCUUAAUCUCUACAGAAUUGACAAAUAUAUCCAAGUCUUGAAGCUGUGGAUUUUCCUCUGGGGUGAUUUCAAAGAAUUUUCCAAACUCGUUGGAAUAGAUAGGACCGCGACUUCUCAAGUUGAAUGGUUCAGAUUCAGAGGAAACACUUUUUUUGGAGGUAGACUUUGCAUUUUUAACUCAAUUCCUCAUUUGUCCCUGAUAAUUUUACUAUUACAUUCUCUGCUUGACUUUGCUGCCUCUUUAUCCUUAAGGCUUCUUCUGUGUUGUGUCUCUUUCUCAUGCUCUUCUAAAAGAACCUUUUCUAUCUCUUCAUAAUCAGUCUAUAUUUUUUUACAGUACAUACAUUGACAAAGUGAGUAUUAACAUAUAUAAAACCAAACUAAUACAUAAAAAAAUGAAAAAAAUUGUGUGUUUUAUGCUUACAUUGAAGGAAGCCUCUAGAAUGUUCUUACUGAACCCAGAUAAGUAGGAUUGUUGGUUUUGAUUUCCAGACAAUAAGAAAGACUGUUGAAAAGGACAAAAAAAUGAGGAAAACAUUACAGAAAAAUAUGUACAGUCACAAUUUUUGUUGUGAUGUUAUGGUAGAGGCCCCUAAAUUUGUUUAUACAUUUGAGUGCAUACCAUAUUUGAUAUGAGAAGAUAUGAGAAUAGGUAAACAUUGGUUAUAUUACCUGAAGUUGGCCAGGUCUAUUUACGGGAAUGGCGAGAUCUAAUACUCUAAGCUCCUCGUUGUCAUCUCUGUUAACCAAAUAAGCAAUUGUGCCAGCAGGAAGUUUUACCGUAUCUCCGCGCUCAAGGUUGAAGGAGUUUCUGUCAUCGGGUUUCAACACUGUGAGUAUAGCUUUUCCUGGAAAUUACAAUGACAUUAGAUUUUAUAAAUGAAUUUAAUUUAUCCUUACAAAACAAAUAUGUAAAGUAAUAAGAGAAAUGCUAAUAAUACUCUCUUUUCAACACUCUCUCAAACACACACUCUUUCAUUUGUUGAAAUAUGUGUGGAUCUUACCACUUUAUGUGGGACCUAUUUCCAAAGCGAGGGGCCCACACAUGCUUCAACCAAUAAAAAAGUGAGUGUUUGAGAGAGUGUUGAAAAGAGAGUGUUACUAGCACUCCUCAAAAUAAUAAAUACCGUUCUUUUUGAAUGAACUAUGAGUGAUUAGUUUUAAAUAUUUAACUUGAUAAAUAAUAAAUUACCACUGAGUACAACAAGGAUGUAAUCGGCAUCGGUGUGCUGCGGAAGAAAUAUUGUGUGAGGUUUGGACUUAUAUUCCAAAAGACGGUAGUUUUGUAGAUUCUCGAACGAGAAGACAUGUUUGGACUGUAUAUUCCAAAAGGACGGUAGUUUUUGUAGAUUCUCGAAAAUUUUA
rnacentral:lncRNA from 1 species